UAAAUAAUUCGAGAUAUAAGAACAAUAAAACAAGUAGUGAGUCUUGCACAAGAGAGAAAGAUAGAGAGAGAGAAUUGUAUAUUUCCAAUAGCAAAAUACACAUCCGUCUUUACAAAGGGAAGACCCACUUUAUAUACUAAGGGACCUUCCUCGAAAUAAUCAAGGAAAAGUACAAGUGUUGAUGGCCUCAUUGUACGAGUGUCAGAGCUCGAAACGACGUCGCAGUGAGUCAUCUCACUCGGUCCGUCUACUAACUGAGGCCGGUCUUACUCGAGUCGACCAUAGUUAGGCCGCUUUUUUCACCGAGUAUGUAUGUAGAUAGUGUAGGAAUGUAGGGAACCAAAUUUGUCCAAUACAGAUAGUCCCUCCGUUUGUUGGGGACGUAGUCGAGAGACGUCCUCAACAUACAUGCUUCAUAUUUCUGAAAUUUGGCCAUUCCUGUGGAUACAACUGGAAAAGGUGUGCCCAUAUAGGAAGAUGUUAAGCCGUUGACAUAUUACCUCCUUUUUGGGGUUCCUUUUUAAGAUGACAUCAUCGAUCACGUGCGUGAUCAUUACUUCUGCUCCCCAGGCGGUUCAGUUGUGACGUGACGUUUGGGUUUCCUGCGCCGGUUUUCAAAUCAUGCCCUUUCGAUUUUCAUGUACCCUUUCUUAUAAAUAGAACAGGUUAUGACAUGAUGUUUAGGUUUCUUGCGCCGGUUUUCGAGUCAUGCCUUUUCGAUUUCUGUGUACCAUUUCUUAUAAAUAGAGGGAAAGUUGUAUUUGAUCCAUCUUUCGAACCUUUUCUGAGAGUAUUUCCCCAAUCUUUUCCCUAUCCUUUUCUGGUGCUCGUUGUUCUUUCUUUUCUGAAACUCUCGUUCUUAGGAAUUGAACCUACGACCAGCAGCGCCUUUUUCUUAUAACUUUCACAAUGGCUAAAUGUCGUCAUGAUGAUGCAAGGACUAAGGACGAUGCUCCCUCAAGGGCUUCGUCAUCCUCAGAUGAUGGGGAGGCCGAGGAAGUUUCGUUCCACUAUCAGCAACUAACUUACUCCCACUUGAUAUGGAUAAAAGGAGGGACUUUAAGAACAAGUGUACACUCCAUCCUUGGGAGCACAGUGAUCUGAUAUCGUCUCACUUGGAUGCCCUCAGUAAAUCGUAUAGUAUUCCUGAUUAUGUUGAGAUGGUCCCCGCUGGGCUAAACCAUGCCAAUGUGCACAAGCCCGGGUAUUGUGUAUUUUAUGAGUACGCCUUUCGAAUCGGAUAUAGCAUCCCGUUUUAACCUUUGGCGGAAAAGCUCUGUCGCUGGUACGGGGCGUGCCCAGACAGCUUACUCCGUACGCGUUGAAGGUGUGUAGGGUCCUUACCACAUACGUGGCGAAGGCUGGGAAAGAGGUCAGCGUUCAUCACCUCCUACAAAUGUUCGGUGCAAGCUUUAUGAGAGGCUCGAUUCUCCAAUUGAGGAGUCGGGGCAAGAAGAGUUUUGUGUCGCAGGUGGACGAAAAGGCCAACCGCAAAUUUUGGACGAGAUUCUCUAGGUGCGUACCGAGCACCUUAUGUCCAACCCUGAAGGGUUUUCAGAGGUGUGGAAUGAUGCAUGUAAGUAAUACUGUGCGUAACUUUUACUAAGGCAACCUUGCCUUGCUGUUUUUCACCGUCAUAAAUUUCCCUUUGCUUUCAUGCAGUGACAGCUCGCCCUCCUCGAAGGGUUGACGACAUUAGGUCAUGGGUGCAAGCAUUGAUAUAGUUUGCAGAAGAAUACCGUUCCCGUCCUGAAUUCCUUAGGCUCUAUGGCCCGGAAGGUAACGGCCUUGCCUAAUUUUUUCCUUCUAUUAUGGCUUGGGGGUUCCCAUAAUUUUCUUUCCCGUAUCAUACAUGCGUUGGCAGGUCGGGACGCCUCUAAAAAGUUGCAGAAGAAGAAGAAGAAGACUGUGGCCGGCCCUUCUAGGGAGGUAUCUGACCUUGAGGAGGAUAUGAUCCUUGUUGGUACGUCUAGGGGCAGUGUUUUGCCUGCCUAAUUUUUCCUUGUGUUAUGGUUUGGGGGUUCCCCAUAAUUUUCUUGCCCAUCUCAUACAUGCUUUGGUAGGUCGGGACGCCUCUAAUAAGGCGCAGAAGAAGAAGAAGAAAAUCGUGGCCGGCAUUUCUAGCUCGAUAUCUGACCUUCAAGAGGAUAUGGUCCUCAUUGGCGCAUCUAGGGGCAGUACUUCGCCCCCAUCAAGACAAGAGAUCGCAUUAGAAGCGGCUCAGAGUUAGUAUCUGAGGCCGUGCUGGGGGUCAUACUUUAAACGACGCCUAUGGAGAUACCAGCGGCGUUUCGUGAGACUGGUCCCGGGGUUGCCCCCAUAGGGAUGUCCACUGCCAAACCGACUCCAUCUGAGCCCGCUCUGCAACCCACGGAGGGUGGGGGGAAGGGGGGAUCGUAAAGAGGAGCAUACGUUGGAGAUGAGGAAGCGUCGAAUUCUUACCGGCAAGGCUGUGGAAACUCAGACAGGGAAGUUUAAGCCAUCCCACCCUGAAUCUAGGCCGGUCUUUAUGGCUGAGGCCAUUGUCUCAGGGAGGUCCUCUCUUAGGAGGGAGGCCACAGAGAGAAGGAGCGAAUGUGUGGACGUGGCGAGCCCGGGAGUUGCCACGGAGGACGUGUGUAGAGGAGGUGGAUCCUUGGACCAGGUGGAGAUGGUGGCCGGCCAGUCUUCUCGUCGCAUAGUGAUUCCAAGCCACUAUAAUUUGUUGGAGAAUUGAGAGGAGGCGGCCACUAGUAUCACACUCUUGUGUGUCGGCGCUAAGCGUGCGACCCUGGCGGAACUCAGAGACAAGGUCUUGGCCCGAAGGGUGACGGGUGCGGCCUUGCAGGUAUUGCCUCUGUCUUGAUCGAUGAUUUUUCUUUUUCAUUAGUGGACGGUGAUUUUCCUCGUACUUACUUUUGGUUUCUUUUCCAAACUCUCAUCUUAGAGGCGGAGAGGGGUCGAUGCCAGAAGGAGAAGGUGUCUAAGUACAACAGGCUAGUGCAUAAGUACAAUUGGACACGUGAGGCGCAUCAGACCUUGGCCGAUAUGUAUAAACAGGACCCUAACUUCAGGGUGGUCCGUGAGGGUCUCGUGCAAUCCGAGGAGCAGUUAAAGAAGUGGGUGGCUGAGCUGGAGAAGGUCGAUGAACAGCUUAUGGCCGCCGUUGCUCGGACUGCGGAAAUGGAGGUCCUCCUUCAACCUAAGAAUGAAGGAUUGCAGCUCGGCUGCGUAGUGGUGGAGGGGGCGGUAGAAUUGUGCACCCGGGUUGCGGCCUUAAUGGCGGAAAUUGACGCCAAAGGCCGAAGUUGAGGACCUCAAGCGAGCCCUUUCUCAGGCCGACGCGUCUCGUGAGGCACACGAGAUGUGGGUGUAUGCAGAGGCCAGGGUGGUCGUGCUUGAAGAGUUUUUGGCGGCUGUUCGAGCGUUCGAGGCGGAGGUUGAGGGCCAGCGCCAGUUGGUUAUGGUCGCUCGUGAAGCGGCCGACUACAGUCCUGGAUCGUAGGCCCGCGAGGGGGGAAACUCUGUAGACGUUAAUCGUUUGAAAUCCGGCUCUUGGAUUGCCAAGGAGUACCCUCCUGGAAAUUAGGACGGGCCACUUGAAGGCCAGGCUGGGCGGGAUAAGUAAUGGACUUUAGGAUCCUUGUAAAUAUGCCUAUAAAUACUGACUUUUGUAUCAUGGUGUUUGACCCUUUUGAUAAAUACAUAUGAUUUUUGUUGUGAGUAAUUUGUUAUAUUCUUUUUGGCACGUUGUUGUAUUUUUUACCGUAGCUGUGUAAAACUCGAUGGCUUUAGCCGUGUAGGAACGAUGGCCAUGGCCGAGUAAAACAGCGGUCGUAACCUUGGAAAAUUCGACGGCCUUAGCCGCGUAGAAAUGGUGGUCUUAGCCUUAUAAAAUUCGAUGACCUUAGUAGUUUAAACAUGAUGGCCCUAGCCACGUAAAAAUGAUAGCCUUAGCCUUAUAAACACGAUGGCUUUAGCCAUGUAAAAGUGAUGUCCUUAGCUGUGUAAAAAUGAUGGCCUUAGCCAUAUAAAAAUGGUGGCCUUAGCCAUGUAAAGAUGAUGGUCGUGGCCGUAUAAAAACGAUGGCCUUAGCCAUGUAAAGAUGAUGGUCGUGGCCGUAUAAAAAUGAUGGCCGUGGGCUGAUGGCCUUAGCCAUAUAAAAAUGAUGGCCGUAGCCAUAUAAAAAUGAUGGCCGUAGCCGUAUAAUAAUGAUGGCCUUAGCCAUGUAAAAAUGAUGGUCGUAGCCUGAUGGACUUAGCCAUGUAAAAAUGAUGUUCGUAGCCGUAUAAAAAUGAUGGCCAUAGCCUUUUCAUUCAUUUAGAGAUAGUCGUAGCCUUUUCAUUCAUUUGGAGAUGGUCGUAGCCUUUUCAUCCAUUUGGAGAUGGUUGUAGCCUUUUCAUUCAUUUUGAAAUGGCCAUAGCCUUUUCAUUCAUUUGGCGAUGGUCGUAGCCUUUUCAUUCAUUUGGAGAUGGCCGUAGCCUUUUGAUUCAUUUGGCGAUGGUCGUAGCCUUUUCAUUCAUUUAGCGAUGGCCAUAGCCUUUUCAUUCAUUUGGAGAUGGCCGUAGCCUUUUCAUUUAUUUGGCGAUGGCCGUAGCCUUUUCAUUCAUUUGGAGAUGGUCGUAGCCUUUUCAUUCAUUUGUCAUUCAUUCGAAAGUUUUUUAUUCAUUCGGAGAUGGCCGUAGCCUUUUCAUUAAUUUGGAGAUGGUCGUAGCUUUUCAUUAAUUUGGAGAUGACCAUAGCCUUUUCAUUCAUUUGGAGAUGGUCGCAGCCUUUUCAUUCAAUUGGAGAUAGCCGUAAUCUUUCUAUACAUCUGGAGAUGACACUAAUCCAGUCCAUGUAUCAUGUCGGGCUUGGAGAGUAAACGGAGAGGCGGAUAUGAUGCACUUGUGCUGCAAACAUCUCCAAAUGACCCUUUUGCGGCCUCGUUAAAAACCUUCCCGAGAAAACCCAAUUGGGACAAAGCCCGGGUAAGGGAAAAAGAGUACAACUUGGGAGACGCCUUUUAAAAAUGGAAUGGUCAUGGUGGGCAACNNNNNNNNNNNNNNNNNNNNGGACAAAACUCGGUAAGGGAAAAAGAGUAUGACUCAGGUGACACCUUUUUAGAAGUGGAAAUGUUUGAGGUGAGCGACGUUCCAGUUGUUAUGGAGUGUCUUUCCUUCCAUCGUCUCUAGCUUGAAUGCUCCUUUCUCGUCCGCCGCCGUGAUUUUGUAGGGUCCAUCCCAGUUUGUGCCCAAUUUUCCUUAACUUGGGUCUUUUGAGGCCAAAGUCUUGGCUUUGAGGACGUAGUCCCUACUUUGAGUGGCCUUAUUUUUUCCCUCUUGUUGUAAUGUCUUUCGACUUUUUGUUUUUGGGCUACCAUCCUGAUGUGGGCCAUUUCUCUUUUUUCUUCGGCUUCAUCAAGAUCUUGGAGUCUGCUGAUGUCGUUUUCUGUUCCGCUGGUGUGUGAAUACCUUAGGCUGGGUUCGCCCACUUCAACGGGUAUGACUGCUUCUGUUCCAUAAGCCAGUGAGUAUGGGGUUUCCCCGGUGCAGGACUUGGGUGUGGUUCUGUGCUCCUAGAAGACUUCAGGUAGUAGUUCGGGCCAUAACCCCUUGGCAUCUUCGACCUUCUUUUUUAAUAUGUUUAAGAUUUUUUUGUUGGAGGACUCCGCUUGGCCGUUGGCGGAGGGGUGGUAUGGCGUGGAUAGUAUCCUUUUGAUGCGCCAUUUCUCGAAGAACUCAAUUGUUUUCUGAUAGAUGAACUGGCGCCCGUUGUCACAGCUGAUUUCUUUGAGGAUGCCGAAGCUGCAUAUGAUUUUUAUCCAUAUGAAGGUGAUGACCUCUUGUUCGCGUAUUUGCGCGUAUGCACCUGCUUCUACCCACUUGGAGAAAUAAUCAGCUAAAACAAGUAAAAAUCGUACCUUUACUCGUCCUGCGGGUAGCGAGCCGACUAUAUCUAUUCCCCACUUGAUGAACGGCCAGGGGGAGGUGAUGGAAUGGAGGGGUUCUUCUGGUUGGUGUAUCAUUGGGGCGUACUUUUGUCAUUUCUCGCAUCGGCGGAUGUAUUCAGCUGCCUCUUUCUAUAUGGUGGGCCAGUAGUAGCCGGCGCGUGUGAUGCAUCGCACAAGGGCGCGAUUUCCUGUGUGGGCGCUGCAAUGGCCUUCGUGUACUUCUUCGAGUACCGGCCUUGUUUGUUGCGGCCCUAAGCACUAGGCUAAGGGGCCACCGUACGUCCUUUUAUAAAGGUCGUUGUUGAUCAUGCAGUAUCGGGCGGCCUGUUUGCGAAGCUUUUUCGCCUCUUUUUUAUUUGGGNNNNNNNNNNNNNNNNNNNNNNNNNNNNNNNNNNNNNNNNNNNNNNNNNNNNNNNNNNNNNNNNNNNNNNNNNNNNNNNNNNNNNNNNNNNNNNNNNNNNNNNNNNNNNNNNNNNNNNNNNNNNNNNNNNNNNNNNNNNNNNNNNNNNNNNNNNNNNNNNNNNGGGGGGGGGGGGUAGUGUUCCAUCCUGCAAAUAAGAUAUGAACUGGUUGCGCCAGUCCCAAGUAAGGCUUAAGAAAAGUACCUUGGUGUGAUCGAUGGCUGAGUGGAGGAGUGUGACCACACUUUCUUUGUUGCUAUUUUUUGUGGCGGCGGCCAACUUUGCCAGGCUGUUAGCUUCGAUGUUUCGUGCUCUAGGAAUUUUUUCGAAGCGACAUUCGUCGAAUGUGGCCAUUAUUUUGCGUAUCUCUGUCUCAUACUUUUGCAGCCUUUGCUCUUUGAUAUGGUAAGUCCCAGUGACUUGGUUUACCACGAGUUGGGAGUCACAGUGGAGGAGUAUUCGCUGAGCCUCAUACUUGGCGGCCAGUUUCAUGCCUGCAAUAACGGCCUCGUUGUUAGUCAUUUCCAGGCAUCGUAUGGACUGGCGAAUUGUUUCGUCCGUGGGGAUCUCAAGAACGAGUCCCACUCCCGAUCCCGAUGCGUUGGCGGCGCCAUCCGUGUAAAGGACCCAUAGGUCAUUUUUGGAGGAUGCGCAUUGUGCCUCGAGUUCUUCCCUUGGCAAGACUUCGCGCUGGAAUCGGCGAUAAAGUUAGCUAGGACUUACGACUUGAUGGCGGUCCUAGGAAGGUACGUGAUAUCAUGCUCGUUGAGCUCAACAGCCCAUCUGGCGAGUCGCCCUGAGAAUUCGGGUUUGUGUAGGACGCUCCUUAAAGGGAAGUUCGUUACUACCCUUACGGGAUAGAAUUGGAAGUAGGGUCAUAGCUUCCGUGAAGCUACUACUAGUGCUAAUGCUAGCCUAUCGAGGUGGGGGUGCCAGGUUUCGGCAUCUACCAACGUUUUGAUAAUAUAAUAAAUAGGAGAUUGCAUACCUUUAUUUUUGCGCACUAGGAUGGCGCUGACUGGGACUUCUGAUACAACCAAAUAUACCAACAGCGGCUCGCAAGGGUUGGCUUUCACUAGUUGGGGUGGUGAUGACAAAUAUGCUUUCAAGUUCUUCAGGGCCCCUACACAUUCUUCAUUCCAUUUUAGUCCCUGGUCUUUCUUCAAGACACCGAAGAAUUUGUGGCACUUGUUGGAGGAGCGUGAGAUGAACCUGGAGAGGGCGGCUAUCCGACCCAUCAGCUUCUGCACUUGCUUUUUGCUGCUUAGUGUUUCGGGGAUGGCUUCUAUAGCCUUGAUCUGGUCAGGGUUGACUUCGAUGCCCCUUUCUGAUACCAGAAAUCCCACGAACUUUCCCGAGGCUACGCCAAAAGCGCAUUUUUCGGGAUUCAGUUUCAUACCGUACCUCCUUAAUAUUUUGAAGGCUUCUUUCAGGUAAGUGAGGUGGUCUCCCUUUUUUGAUGACUUGACCAGCAUUUCGUCAAUGUAGACCUCCAUCGUCUUGCCAAGUUGUUCUUUCAACGUCGUAGUCACCAGCCUUUAAAGGCUUCUUUCAGGUGGGUGAGGUGGUCUUCAUUUUUUGAUGACUUGACCAGCAUGUCGUCGAUAUAGACCUCUAUCGUCUUGCCGAGUUGUUCUUUGAAAAUCGUAGUCACCAUCCUUUGGUAAGUGGCCCCUGCAUUCUUAUGCCCGAAGGGCAUUACCUUAUAGCAGUAUAUCCCCUGGUGAGUGAUGAAAGUUGUUUUCUCCUGAUCCUCCUCGGCCAUCAUGAUUUGAUUGUAGCCGGAAUACGCAUCAAGGAAGCUCUGCAGCUUAUGUCUUUCCGUUGCGUCUAUCAGUUGGUCGAUGUGGGGUUGCGGUAAUGAGUCUUUUUGGCAUGAUAUGCUUAGAUCGGUGAAUUCUACACACAUCCGCCACUUCCCGUUUUUCUUUUUGACCACUACGACAUUGGCGAACCAUUUUGGGUACUUGGAUUUCCUGAUGGAGCCAUUAGUCAGCAGCUUGUCUACUUCUUCGCUCACCGCUUCGUUGAUGGCGGCGUUGAAUUUUCUUCUUGCCUACCGCACGGGCGGGUGUAAUGAGUCGAUGUUCAGUUUUUGGGAGGCAAUUUCUCGUGGAAUUCCUAGCAUAUCUGCAUGGGAAAAAGCGAAUAGGUUCGAAUGGCUAGAUAAAAAUUCACGGUAAUUACCUAGAUUUGAUAGACCGUGGACUAUGUAAGAUUUCUUCGCGUGGUCGAUGUUGCUUAGCAGGACGGGGUCGAGGUCCUCGAUCGUAGCCUUACUAGCCUCGAUGUCAUCGUGAUCUUUGAUGGCGCUCUCUGUCGGGCGGACCUUAGUCCCCGACAAGGCUGAUUGCUAUGCUUCAGCACUUUCUCCCUUGAGUUUCUUGGUGUGCGUGUAAUCUUGAGCUAUUUUAUAGCACUCUUGGGCGGUGCACGGUUCGCCCCGUAUGUUGUGCACUCCCCAUGGGGUUGGAAUUUGAUCACUUGAUAGAAAUUAGAGGGGACGACCCUCAUGGCAUAUAUCCACAAGCAUCCUAUAAUGGCGUUGUAUGUUGUUUCUUGGUUCAUUACGUGGAAAGUGGUUUCCGUUGUAACUCCUCCUGCCAGAACGGGCAGUGUUACCUCACCAGUGGUUCUUUCCACUGCAUUAUUAAAACCAGUUAGUGUUAUGCAACGUUGAAUUAUCUUAUCCUCGAUUCCCAUAAGUGCAAGGACUCUUGGAUGAAUGAUACAUGCGCCGCUGCAUUGUCAACCAUGAUCCUUUUAACAUCAGUAUCCAUUAAGCGUAAAGUAAUAACUAAGGCAUCAUAAUGAGGAAAACACAAAGCGUCAGCAUCGGACUUAACGAAGGUGAUACUAUCUUCGAAGUCGCCAUACCGUUCGUGAGCGAUGGUUCGCUUUAACUUGUGAUUGGUGGUGAAUUUAACGUGACUGAUCGCUGAAUCAUUGUCUUCCCCAAUGAUCAUGUUGAUGGUGCGCGUUGGUGAGGGCGGCCUUGGCGGACCGUGAGGUUGUUCCCGUCCGCAUGCGAAGUUGAGCUUCCCUUUAUCGCUGAGUAGUUCUUUCAAGAACCCUUGGUUCAGAAUUUGGACGACCUCCUAUCGGAGUCCUAUGCAGUCUUCUAUUCUGUGCCCCCGUUCCAGGUGGAACUCGCAUAGGGCGUUUGAUUUUCUGGUGGCAAGGUCAGACUUCAUCUUUGCUGCUUUCCUUUGUCGCUGAGUAGUUCUUUCAAGAACACUUGGUUCAGCAUUUGAACCACCUAUUGUCGGAGCCCUAUGCAGUCUUCUGUUCUGUGCCCCCGUUCCUGGUGGAACUCGCAUAGGGCGUUUGCUUUUUUGGUGGCGGGAUUGGACUUCAUCUUUGUUGGCCAUUAUACUUUGUUGCCUAGCUUUUCCACUGCGUAUACUACUUCUGAAGGAGACACACAAAAGAUAUGUGCAGAUAAUGAAGGGGGCAUACCUCUGUCGUUUCUUAAUGGGGCGACAUGUCGUUGUAAGUCGUCUGUGUGCCAUGGCGGUGGCGGAUGCGAGGAUCUGAUGUAUGGUUGCUGUCUUUCCCGGUUGAGGCGUCAGACUUGUUCCCGUCGUCGCUCGCUGCAUCGGUCCCUUCGGAUUUUAGGGUGCACUAUUUUCAACCACCGGGUUGGGCCGUUAAGUUCAUCGCCAUCACCACGCACCUCGGCACAGUAGGCGUUGUGUAUCUCUUCCUAGGUGGUGGGGGGAUAUUUCAGGAGACGGCUGAGCAGUUUCUUCGUUGCCUUUGAGCCGUCUCAACUGAGUCCAUUCCGAAAGGAUGCGACUGCCAUGCCUUCGGACGCGUUUGGUAGGCUCAUUCUAACUCUGUUGAACCUAGCUAAGAACUCCCUGAGUCCUCCUGGGGUCUGCCGUACGGCAAAAAUGUCGUUGGCCCGUGCUUCCGCCUUCCUUUCUCCUGCGUGGGCGGUGGCAAAUAUCCGCCAUUUCUUCGAAAGUGGAGAUGCUUUUGGAAGGUAGCUGUGAGUACCACGUUAGGGCCCCUCCAGUUAGCGUUUCGCCGAACUUCUUCAGAAGUACGGAUGGUACCUGCUCUCUUGAUAGAUCAUUGCCUUUGACGGCUGUAACAUAGUGAAUCAGGUGGUCCUCAGGAUCUGUGGUACGGUCAUAUACCUUCAAGUAUGGGGGAAUUUUGAAGGUCUUCGGGAUGGGGUAUGGCGCAUCUCCUUCCUUGUAGGUUUCAUAUACCUUCAGGUAUGGGGGCAUUUUGAAAGUCUUCGGGAUGGGGUAUGGCGCAGCUCCUUCCGUGUAGGGUUGUUCAAAGAACCUCCCCACGUCUCGCUUUGGCAGUAACGUAGGCGCACUUGGGAUUUUAUCCACCCUUUCUUGGUGCUCCUUCAUUUUAUCGCAAAGCGACCUAUUCUCAUUUUCCAUUUCUUCCAUCUUUUUGAGUAUGGCUGUGAGUUUGCCGCCGUUAGCUUGAGCAUCGACGGGCAUGUUGUUCGUUUUCGUGACCUCGAGUUCAUCUUCGGCUGCAACGUGAUCUGUUGCUGUGGUGCAUCUAUCAUUUUGAGGAGGCUUUUUGGCUAGACUGCUCAGAGUGUUUGUCAGCCAUUCUUCCAGUAACCUUUUUAUCUCCGGGGGUGCCUCUUUAGUUGUAGAUAUCGAAGCCUCUCUUUCUCCUGGAACAACCAGAUCUUCCAAUGGGGAAGGUAGGUUUUCCACGCUUAUCAAGGUACUGGGGGUUGUGUGCAAGGCAUCUCCUUCAGCAGACGCAUUGAGAGGAUCGCGAGAUUUGUUCUAACAUCCAAGAUAGCUUUCAUUCUUAUACAGGGCAUCUUCUUCAGCAGCCCCAUUGAGAGGGACGAUGCGAUCUGUUCUCACAUCCAAGAUAGCUUUCAUUCUUGCGUUGUUCUCAGCCAUUUUAGGUCGUAGAAAGUGAUUUUUUGAAGGAUCUCUAGAAGCAAACUACAGCUUUGAUUCUCGAAAUCCCCACAGACGGCGCCAAAUUGUUUGGCUAAAAAGUUAUGCAAAUACUUAAAUAGUUCUAAGACAAUAAAAAAUAAUAUGGAUUAAUCGGAAUCAAGAGUAAUAUGAACUAGAGAUUAUAGUAUGAUCUAGAUAUGUGAUUAUAGUGUAAAUAAUUCGAGAUAUAAGAACAAUAAGACUGGAGGUCUAGAAUCAGGGUUGCAGGAUAGGGGCUCUUAGAGUCCUUCGUUCGCCUCACCCGNNNNNNNNNNNNNNNNNNNNNNNNNNNNNNNNNNNNNNNNNNNNNNNNNNNNNNNNNNNNNNNNNNNNNNNNNNNNNNNNNNNNNNNNNNNNNNNNNNNNNNNNNNNNNNNNNNNNNNNNNNNNNNNNNNNNNNNNNNNNNCUUUUGGGUAGGGGUAAGACUGCCUACAUAUUACCCUCCCCAGACCCCACCUGGUGGGAGUAUACUGGGUAGUUGUUGUUGUUGUUGUAAGACAAGUAGUGAGUCUUGCACAAGAGAGAAAGAUAGAGAGAGAAAGUCGUAUAUUUCCCAUAGCAAAAUACACAUCCAUCUUUACAAAGGGAAGGUCCCCUUUAUAUACUAAUGGACCUUCCUCGAAAUAAUCAAGGAAAAGUACAAGGGGGCCUUACUCUAGUCGACCAUAGUUAGGCCGCUUUCUUCACCAAGGAUGUAUGUAGAUAGCAUAGGAACGUAGGGAACCAAAUUUUCCCAAUACAAGAGGAAAACGGGUCUUGUUCAAAUUUACAGCAUUAAUGCCUAAACUGCAGAACUAAUAAGGAGAUCGAUUUUUUGGUAAAUAGAACACAAAUCAUUUUCAAGUAAUAUACUACUAAUUCAUAAAAAUUGACUUUUUAGGCUUUUAUUGGUUGAAAAUAAGUGUUCUUUUUACAUAAUUAAGAAUGAACAAACUUUACUUUGUCAAAUUUGACCUUCCUUACGUAUCCCAAUGUGUCAUGUUAAUAAUAUACAAAUUUUAAUUAAGGAUAAUAUAGUUAAAAUACUUUUUUUUCUUUAGGAGGGACAUGUCAAAUGGAAAAAAAGAGUCGCUGGAGGGAGUAAUAUACAAAAAUUGAAUCAUCACCUAAAUUAAUGUCAUUAAUGUUGUUUCAGUUUCAGUGAGAUAGGCUCAUUAAGUAGGACAUGAAGAAACCCGUGAACCUUUUUCUUUCAAAUAUUUCCCUCCUCAAUUCUUAGUAGUAUUUCUAUUUCGAAUAAGAGAUGGUGAGUUAAUAAGUCUGUUCGCUAUAAAACAGUGAGUAUUGAGGGGAAAUAAGUUAUACUAAUUAAGAUCGAAAUGGGAAGUGAUGACUAUUGCAGCAUUUCUAUAAUCACAGCAAGGGCUUUUACAGAAAUUAGGAAAAAAAGAUCUGCAGAAACAACGUGUACCAAGAGCUUUACUACUUGUAUAUCGCCAAGGUGGAUUUUGUCGAGGUGGUUUGAGACAAAAAAGGGUGCAGAAAAAGUGAAGGAGCAACAGCUUCAGUAUGGUAGCAGAAAAAAGGAGAAGCAGAAGGAUUAUCUUACGAGAUUAGAUAGGGAAACCUCAUCGCCAUCUACGGCAUUGGAUGAACCAGGUAAAUAUAGCUUAACACCUCCCUCUCUUUUUUUCACUUAUUCAGUAUGAAAACGAAUAUAUAAAAAAGAAAAAUUUAAAGAUCGUUUUUUUCAAAUUCAAAGUUCAAAUAUUUUAUAGGAACAGGGUAAAUAUUUCUUAUUUGUGUUUAUGUGUUUAUGUGAUUAUGUACACGGAUUAACAGUCGGUUCUUUAUCAUUUUUAAAUUUUUCUUGGUUUCCCACCGCUUCCGGAGCCUGAGUAUAUCCGGAUUCGUAUCGCGUAGGGCUCUAUUUAGGAAGAAGCACUCCCUACCAAAAAUUUUUCCAUACUCAGGUCCUAAACUCGAUACGUCUGAUCAAGGGAAAAGCAGUAACAUUCACUUUCAGUUUUACCAUUAUUCUGUUGAUGAAGUUGUCUUUAAAGUCACUAGAUUGUAUAAAUAUAUUUUAUAUUGUUAAUAUAUUAAACUUAAAUGCAUACUUGUUCUUAAAAAUUUAACUUUUAUUCGAAUAUAUAUAUAUAUUGCUUCAGCCUGUUAUCGAUAACUUGUCUUAUUUUCUUGUUACAAAUUUUAAUUUUUAAGGAUGGUAAUUUGUAGCUAGAUUUUUGUUUUUUUUUUUUGGAAAAUAAAAGUUGGUCAUUGAAAAAGGGUGGCUGAUGGUCAGUGAAUUAGUGUUCACUAUUGCCACACGAACCAAAAAUAAACUAAUGAUUAGUUCAAUAAGAUGUUUCAAAACCUUUACAAAAUAUUCCAUCACUAUUGACUUAUGUGAUAGUGUAAAUAAAUUGACAUAUUGCAGAAAUUGUUUCUUUUGUAAAUAUGUUUGCGAAGGCAGAACGAGGAGAACCACCAAACAUAAACAGAAAUAAAUAAUUACUAGUAGUAUAUAUUUAAAAAAUUAACAACAACAAUAAACCAGUAUAAUCUCACUUAGUGGGGUUUAGGGAGGAUAGUGUGUACGCAGACCUUACUGGCUGUUUCCAAAUAGACCUCCAACAUUCUUCCCUCCAAGAACUUCACACCUUGCUCUUGGGGAGACUCAAACUCACAACCUCUUGGUUGGAAGUAGGGGUUGCUUACCAUCAGAGCAACCCCUCUUGUCAUAUUUAAAAAAUUAGGUGCAUGGAAAAAAUUCAUAUUAAGAAGACAAAAAAAAAUUGAAAAAAAAUUCAUAUCAAUAUCGUGGUAAUAAAUUGGUAAGACCAUGUUUGGUUUGAACUAGAAAACUGAGAGACAGCUUCUUUUGCAAAUCCGUUGCUUUUUAAUGUUAUUUAAUUCCUACCUUCCUGCCGAAAUUAUUUAAUUCAGUUAGAUAAGAUGCAGACAAACUAAAAAAAUAAUUACUCCAAACAAUUUCGGCAGUUCAACCUUUCAACCUAAAAUAUGAUUUUCAAAUAUUUUAACACUUAAAAAAUAUUUAAACUCUUAUUUUGAGCAUGCUGUCAUCUAAUAUAGAAACUUUAUUACCACUGGAGUAUUUGAAAUAUUGCAACUCCGGUAUUAGAUUUUAUUUUAUUAUUUUUACCUUGACGUUUUCAUAUUAUAUCCCGUAUAAGAAUAUGGAAACAAUUUGUUCUUUUUGAUUGACAUGGAAAAUGACAUAAUAAUAAUAUUUUGGACAUGUAACUUUAUUACAUAUAUACAAGCAUAUGAUAAGCCUAAGCAAAAUUACAAAAUUCAUGCCAUUUUAGAAUAAUUUUGCCUUUUUAUGAUUCCAUCUGUGUAAUACUCUCUCCAUUCACUUUUACUGGCAUGUAUAAUAAAAAUAGAUUUUCAUUUUUAUUUGUCACUUUAGGAAUAUCAAGAAGACAAAAAAAAAUCUGUUAUACCCACAAUAUUUAUUACUCAUUUCAAAUCAUAAUAUCCAAUCUAAUAAAAUAUAUAUUAAUUAGUAUGGGUAUAAUGGUAAAUUAUGCACUUCAUGUAUUAUUACUUAUGGGGCGUGAAAAGUCAACGUGCCAAGUAAAAGUAAACGGAUGAAGUAUUUAUUAAAACAAACCAAUCAACAUUUUAUGCAGAAGACAAGAAAGCAGACUCUUUGAACCUAGGCAUUGGAUUUGGUCUAAUCUAUCUGUUUAAUGCUACCAAAAAUGAGCUGAACAAAAUUGUUGAGAUUCGUAGAGAAAUGGAAAUCCUGCUUCAUAAUUCCAAGAUGGAAUUCCAAAACCAAGGAAGAAUCAGAAGAAAUCUUUGUGCUUCAAAAGCCAAAAUCUCACAGGACGAUUCAGAUUGUGUUGAACAAUUCGCAUACUCUACUGAUAUAGAACAAGAAUCAGAAAUCACUUGCAGCCAUGAUCACACAGCUUUCAACUGCAAAUCAAUGAAAGGAAAAGAGACGAAUUUGGAAAUGAACCAACUUGAAGCAGAACUUGAAGUCGAAUUAGAACGUUUACAAUUCCAUUCAGAUUCAGAAGUCAUGCUGAAGCUGAAAUAUCCAACACAACAGAAUGCUGAGGUACGUUCUGUUAACAACAACAACAACUACCCAGUAUACUCCCACCCGGUGGGGUCUGGGGAGGGUAAUAUGUAGACAAGCCUUACCCCUACCUGAAAGGGCAGAGAUCAGAUUGUGUUGAACAAUUCGCAUACUCUACUGAUAUAGAACAAGAAUCAGAAAUCACUUGCAGCCAUGAUCACACAGCUUUCAACUGCAAAUCAAUGAAAGGAAAUGAGAGGAAUUUGGAAAUGAACCAGCUUGAAGCAGAGCUUGAAGUCGAAUUAGAACGUUUGCAAUUCCAUUCAGAUUCAGAAGUCAUGUUGAAAUAUCCAACACAACAGAAUGCUGAGGUACGUUAUGUUAGCAAUUACAUUUGUUUAUAUUACAAAUUGAAGAAAGACAUGACUAUACUAAAUUGCUUUUAGUUUAGCAUAGUAUAGGACAGCCGGUGCAACUAAGCUCCCGCUAUGCGCAGGGUCCGGAAAGGCCCGGACCACACUAGUCUAUCAUACGCAACCUUAUCUUGCAUUGGCGCAAAAGGUUGUUUACACGAUUAUAAUUUUCUAAUUAGUUUAGUGUAAGACCUCAAGUAGUGAACUUCAAUUGUGGCAGAUGGAUAGCUCAGAAGGAAGCAUUAGCACAAGCUUUACAGAAGUAUACAACCCUAAUGCCUAUGUAACAACGGAAAACUGUGGAGUUCCAGCAGAAGAAUUAAACAGGAAACUGCAUGAGCUUCUACAGACAAGGCAAGAAGAAAGGAUCAAAGAACUGGAGUCAGCUUUAGAAUCCACCAUGCAAAAGCUUGAAGAAAAAGAAAAAGAGAUCUGUUGGUGGAGAGACACUGCCAAGGUCAUCUCUCAACAAGUUCCUAGUCGUCGAUCACUUGCUACAAUAGAUUAAACGCCACACCAACCUUGAAGGAACUUGUCCAAAGUUUUUUUUGGAUCGAAAGAAAGAAAAAGAACGUUUUCCAUGGAUAUCAUUUCAAGUAAAAGAAGGUAAGGAAAUAAACCACAGCUUCAUAUAUCAAAUACUAAAGUUUAGUUUGAAGUAACAAAAGGAAUGGAUGCCUUCAUUUUGUUUGAGAUGGUUGCCACAGAGUUAUUUCUCACUAAAGAGUCUGGUUUAGCAUGUUCUGUGCUGACACAGAAUAAGGUAAUUAUCUAUGAGAGAGCGAAGAAUAUUAACUUGGAAAAAUAAAAGAAGUUUAAGCCAAACAAUUACACUGCAAGUGUAAGCAUGCAAUUUUUCCCCAAGUGAAAAUGAAAAGCCCUGGUGAUAUCCUUUCACCUGUUUCUGCAACCAUAGUAACAAUUUCCUUUGAAUAGAUUGAGAAGUAGGUGGUCGAUAACCAAGAUUAUAUACAGUUGUCCUGCAAUAAAACAUGCAGUACCCAAAGAAACUCUAUGCUGGUAGAGCAUUAUAUACUUGCAGUUACAAGAAUGAAAAGAUAAUCACCACUUACAGUGACCAUAACAUCACCAGCAGUAACUUCCACAAGAAGAAAUUAGAACCCCUUUCGACAUAUUUGGUGCGAGCACUACAAUAAUAAAAUGAUUAUCAUAUAUGUGGCAGUAUUAUCACUACAUACAGACUAUGUUUGGAAGACAAAUAAACAUCCUGUAGUAACUAGUAGAUAUAGAGGUUCUUUGGAACUAAUAAAGUAACACAUGUAUACACUUGACCCUUAUUGGAACAUGAGAUAUAUGCAUAUUCUCUACACAACAACAAAUGUGGAAAGACCUGUAAAUUUUAUAUUAUUUUGCUAUCUCGUUGAAUUCUUCCAGAAGUUUCUCAAUCAUCUUCCUUGAUACAAUUUUUUCAAUCUCGAACACCCUCAUCUCAGUAGCUAGACCUGUAAAAUUACAUCAAGAGUUCACACCCAGCAUAUGGGAAAGGGUAUGUCUAGACACUCAAAUGGUGGUUCAUGAAAUUGCAUCUAGGGUCAGUAAGGGAAAGAAGAAAAAAGAAAAAGAGCAGAAGAAAAAGACAGUAAUGGGUAAUAUAAGAGCCAGCUAAUUAUUUUUCUUUUCCUCUUAAAAAAUCCCUUCUUCCAUGUAAUAAACGACUUUCAUUUCUAUGCAUUCUUGAUAGCCAAAAAAGCAGUGAUAAAGUUAUAUAUGAAGAAAUAUAGCUUACUGACCUGAUUGACGCAAAGCUUUGAGUGGAAGCACAUUUGCAUAGGAGUAGAUAAACUGGAGCAGGCUUUUCAUAAGCUCAGUAGAUUCAGCUGAGAAUAGAAUCUCCCUCUAAAAUGGAAAGCCAGGAACAUGGUUAGAUUGCUUGAAUAUCAGCAAAAUGGUAUAUCCCAUAUUACAUACAUCCAGUUCAUAGAAGUACACACGACACAGAGCCAUCCUUCUGUUUGCAUAAACAAAUUGGAAACUUUCUUCUACGAAUGAGACAAAAGGAAAACUUCACCCAAGAAGCCGCUAAAGAUAAGUCGCAAUGAGAAUUUAGAAAUAACGAUUUAUAUUGUUCCAAGAUACAAAUUUAAUAAUAAUCCCCCGGGCAACAGUAUGACACAAAAGUAGAAUAAUCUGUCAGACACAACAUCGAGCAACUUGAUCCAUCAAAAUAAGAGCAAGCAUUCAAAGAGGAGGCCACUAAACCUUGAAGCUCUUCUCUGCGUCAUAAUACCCUGAAACAAUCAAGAGGACGCGAAGUUUCUCUAGUUCUGCAUAUCGAAAAGAAAAUGACUGUCAAGCCAAGGUGUCGUAUCUCCCUGCUGUCAAAGUUAUAUAUGCUAAAGCAUAUUCACGAUGAGUGAAAGUGUAAUGUCAUUUGGCAGAACAGAAGGUAAAAAAGUUUUAACUCUCUACCAGACCAGAACCUCGUCCCCUCAUUACAGUAACAGAAUACUUGCUAUAUAUAUAUUCAUAUAUCAAAUACUAAAGUUUAGUUUGAAGUAACAAAAGGAAUGGAUGCCUUCAUUUUGUUUGAGAUGGUUGCCACAGAGUUAUUUCUCACUAAAGAGUCUGGUUUAGCAUGUUCUGUGCUGACACAGAAUAAGGUAAUUAUCUAUGAGAGAGCGAAGAAUAUUAACUUGGAAAAAUAAAAGAAGUUUAAGCCAAACAAUUACACUGCAAGUGUAAGCAUGCAAUUUUUCCCCAAGUGAAAAUGAAAAGCCCUGGUGAUAUCCUUUCACCUGUUUCUGCAACCAUAGUAACAAUUUCCUUUGAAUAGAUUGAGAAGUAGGUGGUCGAUAACCAAGAUUAUAUACAGUUGUCCUGCAAUAAAACAUGCAGUACCCAAAGAAACUCUAUGCUGGUAGAGCAUUAUAUACUUGCAGUUACAAGAAUGAAAAGAUAAUCACCACUUACAGUGACCAUAACAUCACCAGCAGUAACUUCCACAAGAAGAAAUUAGAACCCCUUUCGACAUAUUUGGUGCGAGCACUACAAUAAUAAAAUGAAUAUNNNNNNNNNNNNNGGGGGGGGGGGGUUAAGCAAUUUAUCUAACAAAGUAAAGAACAGUAGCCAGCUAGCUAGAGGAUUUUCUCUCAGUGGUCAAUAAGAUGAGCCAGAUUGAGUGGAUCAUAUGAAAAAGAGCUACAGUUGGAGAUAUGAUCACAAUUAUCUUGUGAUUAGUCACUGAUUGAAAUAUUUAUGCUUCCAAAUUGGAAAAGGAGCACUAUCAAUUACUUACGCUGGAAACUUCUUAUGUUUUCUGCUGAAGUAGAGUGAUGUGAUAAGAGCUCCCCUAUAGGUAUUCCAACUGAACUCGUUCCAAUAUUUGAAGUCCCCAUUCUUGAUCCUUUACCAUCAAGUUUCCCUGCUCCAAGCACUGAAGGUCAGUCACAUAAACAAUUUACUAAAAACGUUGCAUGAGGCAUAUCAUGUCCAUGACCUCAAAAUGUGUGAAAUGAGCCCACUAAGAAUGUAAACUCCAAGGAAGGUUCUCAAAUAUUCAAGCUAUGCGUAAAUUCUAACCAUAAUAUGAUUGCAUAAAUUUACUCGACAGAACCCUGUAGACCAUCUUAUAGUUUCUUCCUAAGAGUUGUCGCUAGCCAAAUACUUGUCAAGAAAAAAGAAAAACAGAAUCUGGCUUAGAUAAAAUUACUUUGUGGCUAGCCAGAGGUUUGAGAAUCUGACUACACAUUCUAGGAACACUCAUAAAAGAUGAAGUGAUACUUGUGAGUAUGGAAAAUCUAGUAAUCCAUAUUUGUAGCUAGGUGUACUUUAAUUAACUAAUUUCACGGUUACAUUUCAGCACCUGUUAGCCCUUGGUCUUUAAAUACGUUUGAAUACCAAUACGAAUUACAGUUUAAUAUAUCUGUGCUCGUAUCCUACUACAGAAAUGAAUCAUCUAGUUUAAAGUGGCGUACUUGAACAAGGCAUCUAUGAAAGCUAAGAAAUCAUGGAUUUGAAAUAGAAAGGUCUGUGAUUAGGAAAAAGAUAAGCAGAUGAGUACCCGAUUUUGACCAUCUUCUAAUAUCUUUCCGUAAAACUUCUCCUGCUCUGGGGUCAGCUUCAUCCGAUUUUGACAAAUUUAUAUUAUCUUUCUGUAAAACUUCUCCGGCUCUGGGCUCAGCUGCAUCUGACUUUGACAACUUUUUAAUAUCUUUUUGCAAAACUACUGCUCUGGGGUCAGCUGCAUCCGGUUUUGACAAUCUUUUAAUAUCUUUUGUAAAACUUCUCCUGCUUUGGGGUCAGUUGCAUCAUGCAAUUUGUAUCUAACUGAAAAUGACAAGGUUGUAAUUGGGAGCUGAGUCUGAUCACUCUGGAAUUAGAAACCUAGAAUAGUGAAGAAUAACGGCUAUCAAAGCUGCAUAACCUACAAAUUUCAUAAAGACCGUUACAUCCAAAUCGACCUGCUCCAUUUAUCAACAAGGUGGUCAUGUACUUAUCCACUGUUGUAGUGUGUGGGUUUGUCAAAUUUCCAGUAUCGACAAGUAUACCUGCUAACUGCACAAGUAAUCAGAUUUAUGAAGAGAUUAUACAGCAUAAAGACAGAACCCUUGACACAAUAAGGGAAUUGGUUAAGAUGGUAGAAGUCCUUAUGCCAUCCAGAGAAACCCUAAGUGUAGGCAAAGCAAACAGCUGGACCUAUGCUAUAGUAGGGAUAGAAGAAGAGGAUAUCUUUCACAAAUUGAACAUUUAGAAAGAUACAUGAACAUGUUUUAGUAGGAGCUUGUGUAUUGUUCUCAUUGUUAUCAAAAGAAUCGAUAGAAGUGCGGAAGAAUUGUGAAUCAACAAGGAUUUGAAUGCAGGGACCAAUUUGAAAACUUUUAGAGCCUCGGUAAUUAAAUGAUUUAAUAGAAUCUUGCACUUUAUAUUAAUGCCUACCAUAAGGUUUUCCCAGGUGGGAGGUGGGGGGUAGGAAACAGAUGAAAAUUUAAUAAAUCCCUCAGCAAAUUAUAUUUGGUCAGGUACACUGGAACCAGAUAACAAAAGUACAAACUAAUUCUCUUAAAAGUUGCUAGAUACCUCCAUUGACUACAAUGUAUUACAAAUAUUCACCAAGAACAGAGAAUAUUAGAAGUUUUUGAAAUUUGUUUCCAGGAUUAAAUGCAGAUAAAGUUUUUUAUAAAAAAAUCAAAAAUCAAAUGCAUACAAAGUUCAUCUCAUACUAAAAAUGAUUGAUUCUACUAUGGUCUGUCUCAAAAUAGUGUCUUCAUUUCCACAUUGGAGUUGUUAUUACUGUUAGAAAUGUUUUCACCAUUAAAAAUACAAUAGGACCCUCUUUCACACUUCCUAACAAAAAACAACAUGAAUACAUGAAGGGUCCAGCUUCGUUACAACUAUGAACAAUAUAAUUUAUUGAUACUAAUCACAAGAACCAGGAAAAACCAGGGGCAGAGCCACCUUUACAGUUACAUCUUAGGCUCAAACCCUGUGUUUGUAUUAAAAAUUCAUUCGAUAUGUAUAAAUAAUUUAUCCAGAACCCAAUAAGAAAAAAGGAUUGUGGUUUAGAACCCAUAAACUAAAAAUUCAAUCUCCACCUCCGGGCUAAACCUUCAUUUGGAAAGGGUAAGCUUUUCGUUUACCACUGGGAUUUUGUUGUAGUUUAAAAUUCUCAUCAUAUUUUUCACCUUCAUAUCUUUGGAAUUACUUGGUCCUAAGGCCGUCUCAAGAUACUUGAAUUCAACUGAGAGUCAAACAAAUUUGUGAUUCUUUCAGAUUUCUAUCAUAAUAUAUUGGUUGAAAACAGGUUCUGAGACUUCAGGCAUCGGUAUACAACAACAACAACAACAACCCAGCAUAAUCCCACUUAGUGGGGUCUGGGGAGGGUAGUAUGNNNNNNNNNNNNNNNNNNNNNNNNNNNNNNNNNNNNNNNNNNNNNNNNNNNNNNNNNNNNNNNNNNNNNNNNNNNNNNNNNNNNNNNNNNNNNNNNNNNNNNNNNNNNNUACCCUUGGGUAGAGAGGCUGUUACCAAAUAGACCCCCGGCUACCAAAUAACAGUAUCUUUUUUCUUUUUUACAAGUCCCAACAACAGCGGUUCUGGUAGUUAGGGAGAUGAAGAAAAGGAAUGGAUUUAAAACAUAAUAGAGGACUUCAGUUUAGACAAGUAUAACUUGCAUAUACGUUUGAAAAUCCAGAUAUUAGAGCUAGUACCAGAAGUCGAGUGAACCCUUGACCCGCCAGUAUCUCUGGUGAAGUGCAUGCAAACUUGUCAGCAAUAAGUGUGCAGCAUGAUGCCUCCUACAAUAAAUAAAUAAAUAAGUACAUAAAAUACGUCAAGUAGAAGUAAGAACAAUCAUUUGGCUCCCGGCAGCAAGUUUGAUUGUGUAAAUAAAAUGACCCUUAGGCCUAACUCAACAUCGAAAGCUAGCUCAUGAGGUGAGGGUUGCCCAAGGCCUAACUUUCUCCAACAUCUGCAAAAUCUUGCUCUAAUAUUUCUCUAGUUGUUCUUAAAUUUAUUGGAGCACAAGCUACACUGGACUAAGUCAAACUUCCAACACAUAAAGCAUUUGCAUAAAUAUUUUUUCUUUUAUUUGCAGUGGGUGUCCGAGUCUCUAUGAACCCCCACUAAUCCCGGGGGUGCACAGGCCCUCGGCAAGGAGUUUCCCGCAGGUGCACCACGGUUAAUUCAGGUUUUACCCAGUCCGAUGGCCCUCAGAAAUUGUUUGCACCCAGUGGGUUUCGAACUUGAGACCUUGAAAGGGAGCAAAGGUGCACCACGGUUAAUUCAGGUUUUACCCAGUCCGAUGGCCCUCAGAAAUUGUUUGCACCCAGCGAGUUUCCAACUUGAGACCUUGAAAGGGAGCAUAUCCCAAGGCUCAAGUCAAUUGCCACCAGGCCAGCCCCCAAGGGUUGCAUUUGCAUAAAUAUUUACGAAGUCGAAUUUAGUGCUGCUUAGCAAAACUAGUCUCCGAUGACCAGUUUAAGGUCAAGAGCUGUUAAAACGUAUGAAAAUAGUGUUUUUAGAACAUAGAAGACAAAUCAAGGAAAAUAACAUUUAUUGGUAUGUUGUUUUUCCCCUAUAUUUCCUAUGGAAAUGAGGAAAAUACCUUCCCAAGGGUGAUAAACCAACUGAAGAAUAAGGUGUAUUUUCCUGCUUAAACAUUAAAGGUCAGAGCAUAGCCUCACUCUAUUUAACAGACUUUACUACUUGACAUAGUCAUAGUAUAAUGGAGAAACAGAAAAAAGAAAACCAAAAUAAAAAGAACCUCUCUGCAAUUGAAGAUUUCAACCACUGCAUCCUUUAAUGCCUGUUCCAGUAAGCAGCAACUAAUCAUUAUUCAACUGAUUAAUAGUAAAUCAGCACACUUGAAACAAAGCACUUACCUCCUGAUUAGCUGGAAGCUUGCUUUGGUUGACUAAAACAAGUUUAAGACUCCCAUAUAAAUCAUAGUAGGAAAGAUCAAUCUGUUGAAAGUUUAAUGAAGAGAACAUAGUUAAAACUUUUGAGACAUAAAAAUUAUCAAGCUAUCAAUUCAAUAAGAACCAAGUAGUUGUCCAUAUUUAGAGUAUAGCAGAAAGUAGAGACUUUUUUUGUUAAGAGUAAAAGACAAGAUCUUCAAGCUUUCCAAGGAAAGCAGAUCAGUUGUUUGGAUGACGUUCCUGGAAUUUCAUUUACUAUGCGGACCUAAGUCUAGAGAAUUUAGACUACAAUCUCAUUUCCUUUCACUAACUCUGCAUAUAGAAUGGAACAUACCUCAUCAAUAAAGAUCAAGGAGGAUUUAUCAAGAAAGCAAGAAUCAAGUAGCCAUCUGAGCUCAGCAUGAGAAUGAAUGUCCGACCUCUUCAUGUUAAUGACGGGCACAGUGCAUAACUGGUUGUCAUUGACUGUUUCAUUCAGGUAAAAAGCAUACAUUAUUGUUGAAGCAACAGAUCCAACAUCUGCAUCCAGAUGGCAAAAGAAAAACAACAUACGAUUAAAGUCAACAAUGUAAGAUGCAAGUUGUUACAAAUGAUCACAGACACGUAUUGAAUGUUCAAGCUACUGAUUGCUCUCUAAAUAAGGACAUUUCCUUCUGUGCCGCAAUCGAUAAAUUAAACGAAGCAAGUAUUUCUCAAUAAUUGCCAAAGGACUAUAUAAGCUGAGCACCUCUUUUUUGUCUGAGUAUACAACCUAUAUACUUCUGGUCCCAUAAGGUGGAAUUCAAUGAAAGAGGUAGCUUAAACUUGAAAAAGCGGCAGCCCGGUGCACAAAAUAUCCCGUAUUUACGCAGGACGUGGGAAGGGUUUCAUCCCAGGGGUGUGAUAUAGACACCCUACCCUAAUGCAAACAUUAUUGGAUGUUUUCACUGCUCGAACCCGUGACCUUGAACAAUUUGAUAAAUCUUUACACGUGGCAAAGAAGAUGGUGCAUUUCUCCUUAAACAUAAACAACCAAAAAUACUUAUGCGAUUACAAUUUCUGAGCAUGUAUAUACUAAAAAACAAAUUGUAAAAUCAAAAGUGAUUUACUAGGAUCUACCUUCUUUAUCUGUAAGCUUAGGCCAUUCGUAACUUUUUCCAAAAGCUUCUACUCUAUUGGAUUAUCCACUCAUUUUAUGUAGCCCAUGUUUUCUGUUAGAAUAGUUAUGUGAAUGUAUGUAAUUAGUCUUAGUCCAUUAUGUAAUAGGAGUAGGUUAUGUAUUAUGUGUUAUGUAUACAUAUAAAUAGGGCUUAUUGCAACAUAGAACACUAAUCAAUAACAUUUUUUCCGUGUUUUCUCACACAAUGUCACUAAUUAUCAGUGUUGUGCGAAAUCCAACACCACUAAAAGGUUCCCAAGAGAAAGGCGACCAAAACCCAGAAAAAACCACCUGAAAACACUCACCCACACGCCCCCACGUGCCUACCGGAGUUCUAUCGUCGGCGGCGCGUUUGUCCCAUACGCCGGCACGUGAGAGCUGUUCCGGCCAGAAUUAAAAUUCCUUUUGGAUACUGUAAUCGUCAUGCAAUUCUGAGCCCACCCAUCCAAUUUAAACCUAAUUCCCACAACUUUUAUAUUUUUCCGGUGUGAAUAGUGAUUUCCGGCGUAAACAGUGAUUUUCAGAAAAUUUUCUGAUUUUUCUGGCGUUAAUAGUAAUUUCCAAAAGGGUUUCUGAUUUUUUCCAGCGUGAACAUUAUAAUGUCAUUCUUAUUAGAAGCUGUUGAGUUGUCCCACAUCGGAGGGAUUUGAGGUCCUUGGUCUCCGUAUACGGCUUGGACAAUCCUCACCUCACAAGCUAGCUUUUGGGGUUGAGUUAGGCCCAAAGUCCAUUCUUAUCAUGGUAUCAGAGCCAGGCCCAUCCCAAUUAUUGUUACCGAUGUUGGGCCCCCAUUUAUGUUGCCCACGCUCCUGAGCGUAAGGGGGUUGUUGAGUUGUCCCACAUCGGAGGGAUUUGAGGUCCUUGAUCUCCUUAUACGGCUUGGACAAUCCUCACCUCACAAGCUUGCUUUUGGGAUUGAGUUAGACCCAAAGUCCAUUCUUAUCAGAAGCCUUAGACACACAAUCCGUUGGAUCGAAUGCAUUGAAUCCAAUCCAGAUGGUUUCUUUACCGGAUUAUAUUGAGUUCCUUCAGUACAAAACACCUAAACAGACAUCUUCAGGAUUAGCCUCCGUUGUUCCCACAAAUAGUAGCAUGACUUGUGUCUCCCAAUCUUCCUUACGUAAGCAGACAUCUUCAUGAUCAGCCUUCGUUGUUCCAACAAAUAGUACCAUGACUUGUGUCUCCCAAUCUUCAACUUCUGAGUCUUGGAUCAUUGAUUCAUCUGCAUCUGAUCAUAUUUCUGGAAACAAAUCUCUUUUCACUAGUAUUUCAUAUUCUCAGUCUCUUCCAACAGUCACAAUGGCCAAUGGGUCUCAAACCAUGGCAAUUGCAAUAGGUCAAGCAAGUUCAAUUCCUUCCUUACCUUUAUGCUCAGUUCUUUAUGUUCCUGGUAGUCAUUUUAAUCAGAUAGCCGUUAGUCGCUAAGCCAAAUCACUUAAAUCUGUUGUUUUAUUUUUUGAUGACCUUGUUUUUAUAUAGGAACCAGUGCAAGGCAGAUCAUUGGUACCAGACGUGAAUCAGAUGGACUUUAUUACCUUAUCCUCACAAAGUCACAUAGACUCGCAUCUUGUCUUCCUUCAAUAACUUGUGCCGUUACUGAUUCACCAGAUUUAUUACAUAAACGGUUGGGACAUCCCAGUUUGUUAAAACUUCAGAAAAUGGUACCUGGCUUAUCUCACUUGUCCACUCUAGAUUGUGAGUCGUGUUAGCUCGGUAAGCAUACCCGCUCUCAUUUCCCGCGGCGUCUUGAUAAUCGAGAAUAGAGAAAGCAUGAGAGAAACUGAAGAAUGACUAUCUCAAUUCCUUGAUUCAAAUACAUCAGAUACAUUGGUAUUUAUAUACAAGAGAAAUAGGAGAUGAAAUGAAGUAAAAUAUCCUACACUAAAUGUAAAUCCUACAAAAUAUUCUUCAUAUUUCAACAACUAAUGCUACACAAUAUUCUACACCUAAUGUAGAAUAUCCCUAAUAAUAUCCCAUAUAUUCACCAUAUCGAGAAUAUAUUAAUGUAGAUAUUCUACAAUCUGUUCAUUAUGCUAACACCCCCCCCCCCCUCAAAUUGAUGUUGGCGGAUCAAAAAGCAUCACGUGCCAUUGAUUUGUAAACACAUCAGCUAUUUGAAGAUCACGGAUACAUGUGGAAGAGUAAUAACUUUUCUAUUUACCGAUAGAAUGACAGUCCACUUCAAUAUGCUUGGUUCUUUCGUGAUAAACUGAAUUAGUUGCAAUCUGAAUGGCACUUGUGUUAUCAGCAUGGAGAGGAGUAGGACUAGAUUGAGGAAAUCCAAUUUCUGCAAAUAAACCACGAAGCCAAAUAAUUUCAGAGCAAGGAGUCGACAUUGCUCGAUAUUCAGACUCUAUCGAAGAUUUUGAAACACGAUCUUGCUUAUUGCUCUUCCAAUAUAUCAAAGAAUCUCCGAGAAACAUGUGUUGCGGAAGCCAAAUGUAUAUAGUGUGAAUGAGUCACAACUACUAUACCAAAAUUUAUGGCAGCCACUAAAUAAUAAAUAAGAAAAUAAAGCAACAAUAAAAGGAACACCAUAAUUUAACGAGGUUCGGCCAACUUUAUCUACUACUCGGACACAACCAAUAUUUUAUUACACUCCAAAAAUACAAGUGAAAUAAUACUACAGAGAGAAGAUACAAAUGCCUUAAACAAAUGAAAAGGCAAAUGAGAAGUGUGUUUAAAUCCUAAACAUUAGGCCUCCUUUUAUAGGGGAAAAAUUCCCAAAACAAAAGUUAGCCCACCGGUGUGGGACAAACAAUUUUGCCAAAUUCAACAAAUCUCCACCUUGGCAAAAUUUCACAUCUUCAAUUUUCUCUCGGUAAUAAAUUUUGAUUGUGUCUUCAUCUUCAAUCUUCAGUGUUCAACAAUGUUGAUCAAAUUCAAACAAUGUUGAAACUUGAUCGCAGUCACCACCUUUGUCAGCAUAUCAGCAGGAUUCUCUGUAGUGUGAAUUUUCUUCAUCGAAACUCUACCUUCUUCUAUGAUUUCUCGUACAAAAUAAUACCGAACAUCAAUGUGCUUCAUCCUUGCAUGAUAAACUUCGUUCUUCACUAAUUGAAUAGCACUUUUACUAUCACAAAAAAUUGUGAUACCUCUUUUUCAAUACCAAAAUCCUUUAGCGAUCCUUGAAGACAAAUUGCCUUCUUCACAGCUUCUGUAAUAGCCAUGUACUCUGCCUCUGUUGUAGAUAAAGCAACUGUUGACUGCAAAGUAGACUUCCAACUAACUGGUGCCUUUGCAAAAGUAAACACAUGACCAGUAGUUGAUCAUCGUUUGUCCAGAUCACCUGCAAAAUCUGAGUCACAAUAUCUAACUAUAGACUGAUUGCUUUAAUGCUCAAAAACUAACCCAAUAUCUACAGUAUUAUGAAUAUAUCGUAGAAUCCACUUCACAGCUUGCCAAUGCUCCUUUCCUGGAUUAUGCAUAUAUCUGCUAAUAACUCCAACAGCUUGUUCACAGCUUGCCAAUGCUCCUUUCCUGGAUUAUGCAUAUAUCUGCUAAUAACUCAAACAGCUUGUGAAAUAUCAGGUCUCAUACAGACCAUUGUAUACAUCAAGCUACCAACAGUAUUUGCGUAUGGUACCUUUGACAUAUACUCUCGUUCAGCUUCAUCCUUUGGCAACAUAGUAGUACUUAGCUUAAAACGGGGAGCAAGUGGAGUACUAACUGGCUUAGUCUUGUCAUCUAUGCCAAAACGUUGUAGUACUCUCUUCAAAUAUUCUUUUUGAGAUGGCAACAUAGUAGUACUUAGCUUAAAACGGGGAGCAAGUGGAGUACUAACUGGCUUAGUCUUGUCAUCUAUGCCAAAACGUUGUAGUACUCUCUUCCAAUAUUCUUUCUGAGAUAAACAUAGUUUCUUUGAACGCCUAUCUCUUAUUAUCUCCAUGUCAAGAAUUUUCUUUGCUUCACCCAGAUCCUUCACCUCGAACUCCUUCUUCAGUUGAAUCUUCAACUUAUCAAUUUCUUCUGAAUUCUUGGAAGCUAUCAACAUAUCAUCAACAUAUAGGAGAAGAUAUAUAAAGGAACCAUCUUUAAGCCUGCGCAAAUACACACAAUGAUCGUAUUUGCUUCUCUUGUGUACCCUUGCUGCAACAUAAACUUGUGAAAUCAUUUGUACCAUUGUCUAGAAGAUUGUUUCAAUCUGUACAACGAUUUUUCAAGUUUGCACACCAUAUUUUCCUUUCCAGCAACUUUGAAUCCUUCUGGCCGAGUCAUAUAGAUUUCCUCCUCCAAGUUUCCAUGUAAAAACGCAGUUUUUACAUCCAUUUGAACUAGUUCCAAAUUCAAUUGUGCUACCAAAGCCAACAUAACUCGAAUGGAGGAAUGUUUUACGACUGGAGAAAACACUUCAUUGUAAUCAAUUCCCUCCUUUUGAGCAUAUCCGUUGGCACUAAUCUUGCUUUGUAGCGAACAUCUACUUGGUUAGGAAAUCCUUCUUUCUUUGCAAAUACUCAUUUGCACCCAGUUGCUUUCUUUCCCUUCGGGAGAUUGGCCAAUCUCCAUGUAUGAUUCUGAUGAAGGGACUGUAUUUCAUCAUUCAUGGCAAUCCUCCACUUAUCUUCUNNNNNNNNNNNNNNNNNNNNNNNNNNNNNNNNNNNNNNNCAUUCAUGGCAAUCCUCCACUUAUCUUCUUCUGAACUUUGGACUGCAUCUUUAUAAGUGGUAGGAACAUCAUCAGCUACAAUUGUGGUUGCACAAGCAACGAUCUCUAUGAGACGAACAGGUUUUGUUAUUGUCCUUUUUGGUCUGCUGGUUGCUAUUGAUUCAAGUUGUUGUUGAGGUUCCUGAGUUGGAAUCUCCUCUACUGGCUUGCUCUUCAUUGUAUACACCCAUACUCUACGGGAAAAAUCAUCAACAAAGGUUACAAAAUAGUGCUUCCCACCCAAUGAAGGUGUUUUGGAAGGACCCCAAACAUCAAAGUGUACACAAUCCAAAAUGCCUUUAAUAUUAUGGAUCGCUGUACCAAAUUUAACCCUUGUCUGUUUCCCUUUGACACAGUGCUCGCAAAACUCCAAGUUGCAAGUCUUUACUCCUUUCAACAAUCCUUGAUCUGAUAAAAUCUUCAAGGAUUUUCCUCCAACAUGUCUCAAGCGCAUGUGCCAUAGCCUGGUUGCUUUUGCCUCUUUGCCGUCACUGGACGUCACUGCCGUUGUCCCAAUAACUGUACUACCACGAUAGCGGUACAUGUUAUUGUUCUUCCGAUUUGUCUUCAUUACCACUAGUGCACCAGAGCAUACUCUCAUCACUCCAUUUUCUGCAAUGAUUUUGAACCUUUUUUAUUCUAGGGCUCCCACAGAGAUUAGAUUCUUCUUCAAAUCCGGUACGUACAUAUCGAACAUCUGUUAGUGUUCGAAUCAUUCCAUCAUGGUUCCUUAAUCGCAUUGAACCAAUGCCAUAUAGAUAAGAGGGCUAUUGUCCGCUGUGUGGAUGACUCCAUAUUCUCCAUCUUAAAAUUCCACGAACCAGUCCCUGUUGGGACACAUAUGAUAGCUACAAGUUGAGUCCAUCAACCAUAUGUCUGAUGAUAUUGAUGGCUCUGUUGUAACUAAUGAGAAGUCUGAAUCAUCAUAAUCAGCUACAUUUGAUUCCAUAACGGCCUUUCCAUUGUUAUGUUUGGCCUUAUUGUUCAACUUCGGACAGUCUUUCUUCCAGUGCCCCUUUUCUCGACAAAAGGCACAUUCAUCUUUGNNNNNNNNNNNNNNNNNNNNNNNNNNNNNNNNNNNNNNNNNNNNNNNNNNNNNNNNNNNNNNNNNNNNNNNNNNNNNNNNNNNNNNNNNNNNNNNNNNNNNNNNNNNNNNNNNNNNNNNNNNNNNNNNNNNNNNNNNNNNNNNNNNNNNNNNNNNNNNNNNNNNNNNNNNNNNNNNNNNNNNNNNNNNNNNNNNNNNNNNNNNNNNNNNNNNNNNNNNNNNNNNNNNNNNNNNNNNNNNNNNNNNNNNNNNNNNNNNNNNNNNNNNNNNNNNNNNNNNNNNNNNNNNCAAGGCCAAGUCCCCAUCAUCAUAAGUUGUAUCCCUAUUUUGUAAAUAUGUGACCAACUUAUUGAAACUAGUGAUAUGUUCAUUCAUUGUGGUACCAGGAACAUAGGUGAAAUGAAACAGUCUCUUCUUCUUCAUGUACAAUUUAUUUUGACUGUUUUUCUUCAAAAAAUUUAUCCUCCAGUACUUCCCAUAAUCUACUUGCAGAAUUUUCCUUAGUGUAUGGAUAUUUCGGCUCUCUAGCAAGGUAGGAUCGAAUGGUACCGCAAGCAACACAGUUGAGAAUCUUCCAAUCUUCUCUGCAAUAAUAUCUGGCUUCUUUUCUUCAAUGGCCAGAUCUAGCCCUUGUUGAAAAAGGACAUCUAGAACCUCGCCUUACCACAUCCCAAAAUGUCCGGAUCCGUCAAAAAUUUCUACCGCAAAUUUCGCAUUUGACACAAUUCUUGUCAUAAGCAAAGAUGCCAAUGAUGACGCAUUGCUGACACUUGGUGUAGAUUCUUCUUGCUUAUUGUCUCACAUUUUGACACACAUAUUAUUUAAUAGCUGACGACACAAAUCAAGAUUAUUUCCUUUCUGAUGUAGAAGAUCAGACUAAGCUGCAACUACAGAGCAUACUUAGACAGAACCUUGACUCAGUUACCAAGAUAAAUCUUUUCUGAUGUGGAAGAUCAGACUAGCAGCAAUCCACAGAGCAUACUUAUACAGUACCUUAGCUCUGAUACCAAAUGUUGCAGAAGUCAAAUGUAUAUAGUGUGAAUGAGUCACAACUAUUAUACUAAAAAAUAUGGCAGUCGACAGAGCAUACUUAGACAGUACCUUGGCUCUGAUAUCAAUUGUUGCGGAAGUCAAGUGUAUAUAGUGUGAAUGAGUCACAACUACUAUACCAAAAAUUAUGGCAUCCACUACAUAAUAAAUAAGAAAAUAAAGCAACAAUAAAAGGAACACUAGAAUUUAACGAGGUUCGGCCAACUUUGCCUACUACUCGGACACAACCAAUAUUUUAUUCCAUUCCAAAAAUACAAGUGAAAUAACUCUAAAGAGAGAAGAUACAAAUGCCUUAAACAAAUGAAAAGGCAAAUGAGAGGUGUGUUUAAAUCCUAAAUAUUAGGCCUCCUUUUAUAGGGGGAAAAUUUCCAAAACAAAAGUUAGCCCACCGGUGUGGGACUAACAAUUUUGCCAAAUUCAACAACAUGCACCAUCUCGUGACGGAGCGACGAGUAUCAGGACAUCCAGCCCAAUCAGAAUCACUAAAUGCAUUAAGCUGAUAGGAGAACCACUAGGAAAGAAAAAUCCACAAUUUGAUGUUCCUAAAAGAUAUCGAAUGAUGCAACGAACUGCCACCAAAUGUAGAUGACGGGGAGUCUGCAUAAAUUGACUGACUUGUUGAACAGCAAAAGAGAUAUCAGGCCGAGUAAUAGUAAGAUAAUUUAGGCUCUCAACUAAUUGUCGAAACAAAGUUGGAUCAGGAAGAAGAUCCCCUUCAUCGCGACGAUACUUUACAUUCAAUUCCAAUGGAGUAUCAACGGAGGAAGAUUCUUGAAGACCAGCCAAAGCAAUCAAAUUCUGAAUAUAUUUGUGCUGGUUUAAGAACACACCUAAGAAUUAUAAUGAACUUCCAACACCAAGAAAUAUGUAAGAGUACCAAGCUCUUUCAUGUGAAAAGAAUCCUUAAGCUGUUGUUUGAGGCUAGUGAUUAAUAAAGAAUCAGUUCCUGUUAUAAUGAUGUCAUCCACAUACAUUAGAAGAAGAACACAACCUGUAGAUGUUUGGUAACAACCAAGCGAGCUUUGUGCCGAUCUAGAGUUCCAUCAGAAUGAAGUUUAAUUGAAUAAACCCAUUCACAUCCAAUUGGGCGGACAUUUGAAGGACAUGAAACAAUGUCCCAUGUGUUAUUUUCCUUAAGAGACAAAAGUUGCUUUCUGCCAACAUUCAUGCUUGGAAGCUUUUGAGUAACAAGUUGGAACAGAAAUGGUAGAUAAAGUAGAGGAAAAACCAUACCAAUUAGGAGUAUUUCGUUCUCUGGUAGAUCGCCGAGUAGGCUCAAGAAGAGCAGGCCUUGAAGGUAUCUCAUAUUCUGAUUGUGGAGCAGUCUCAGGUGGCGGAUCAGUUUCGCAAUAGGGUAAAGUUGUGCGACGUAGUUCAUACACAUAUCCGGGUUUGAACCGCUUAGAAGAAGAUGACAAAUCCUCAAAAGUAGGAAGAAGAGGAGAAACAGAAGAUGACUCAACAUAAGUAGGAAAGAAAUUUUGAUUCUCAAAGAAAACAUUUCUAGAAAUAUGAAAUUUGUUGGAACUUGGAGGAGAAACAGAAGAUGACUCAACAUAAGUAGGAAAGAAAUUUUGAUUCUCAAUGAAAACAUUUCUAGAAAUAUGAAAUUUGUUGGAACUUGGAUCAUAGCAAAUAAAUCCUUUCUGCGAAGUACUAUAACCCAUGAAAGCACAUUUAGUAGACUGAGCAGAAAGUUUAUUGCAUUGAAAAGGAGACAAAUGCACAAAACAAACACAACCAAAUGUAUGAAAAUUAUGAUAGCUAGGAUUAUGGUGAUAAAGACGAUAAUAAGAAGACUCAAGAUUUAACAUUUUAGAUGACAGUCUAUUAAUUAAACAGACAGUAAUAGACAAAGCUUCCACCCAGUAUUUAGAUAGGACAGAGGACUCAAUCAAUAAAGUACGAGUUACAACUAAAAGAUGACAAUUUUUACGCUCAGCAACCUCAUUUUGUUAUGGUGUAUAUGGUCAAGAGCGUUGUGAGAUGAUUCCUUUCUCAAGCAAGAAAUUAUUGAAUUCAUGAGACAUAUAUUCUCCACCAGAAUCAGAUCUUAAUAUUUUGAUGCAUGUAAAAAAUUGAGUCUCAAUGUAAGCCAAAAAUGUCUUGAAUAUGGAAAAUACCUCAGAUUUGGAACGAAGAAAAUACACCCAUGUAAACAGACUAUAAUCAUCUAUGAAUGUCACAAAGUAAUUGAAAUGAGCCUGAGAAAUAAUUGGUGAAAUGCCCCAAACAUCACUGUGAAUGACAUCAAAACACUUUUUAGCACGACUACGAAAAUUAGGAAAAAGAAGAGUUUUAAUUUUGCCUAAUUUACAAGUAGAACAAUCAAAUGAAGUAGCUAAAAACUGAUUUUUACUUCCCAAUAAACCAGAAUUUGAUAAAUGAGACAACAUUAUAGAAUUUGGAUGUCGUAGACGCUUAUGCCAAACCUCCGUUUUACUAGCUCUAGAAGUACAGGCAAAAGAUAGAACACGAGGAAUGGAAAAGCGUAUAGGAAACAAUCUUCCAACUUUAGGCCCCUUCGCGAAUAUCGUCCCCGACACCUGAUCCUGCACAAGGCAACCAUUACAAGAAAAAUUCACAUCACAAUUAUUAUCUACCGGUUGGCCAACUGAAAUAACACUACUUGAGAGCUUUGGUGAUACAAAAACAUUCUGGAAAGUUUGAGUAAUAUCCCCAACCUUGGUAAUGGGUAAAUUACUACUAUUCGCAAUCUGAAUUUGUGAUGGACCAUGAUAGUCACACACAUUUUUUAGCAUGCUAGUUGAGUUUGUCAUAUGAUUGGAAGCGCCAGAAUCAACAAGUCAAAAAUUAGAUAUAAUUUCGUUAUCUUGUAGCCCCAAAGCUGAAAAGCCUGACACAAUCAUUUGUUGUACUAUUUCAGGAGUAAGAACUUGUCCAACUGUUGGAGUAGCAAACUGAUUGCUAGUUCCAGUUGAAAAUGAGUGAUUAUCAGUUGAACCAUUUAUCCCAGCUUGAAAAGCAUUGAUCUUACGGUUUUGAGGACGUGUGGGACACUCUUUGAUAAUAUGUCCGUGCUGCAUACAAUAAUUGCAGAACUUCUUACUACAAUUGCUAGCAAUAUGACCAUAUUUUUGCAAUUGUAGCAUUGCGUGGUGCUCAUAUCCCUGCCCUUUCUUUUUCCAAGAGCAGCAAAUGCAACAGUAUGAUUACUAUCUUGCUUGAAACCAUUUUGUGUGAAAAGACGCUGCUCUUCACGUAGUAAUUCCCUAAAACAAACAUCCAAAGAGGGAGGCGGAUCACGAUUCAUUAAAUUAGAGCGAACAUUCUCAAAAUCAUAUCGCAAUUUCAUCAAAAAUUAGUCUCGCUUGCUUUGCUCAUGAACUGCUUGAAUUAUAGAUAGAGAUUCAGAAGGUAUUUUAGCAUAAACAAUAUCAGUAAAUUCAACCCAUAAGUUCUGAAAUCCAGAAAAAUAAUCUUGAAUAGAGAGACCUCCUUGAGAGUAAUUAGCAAUUUCGUGCUCUAGCUGAAAUUGUCUUGCACUAUUGUCUUGGUUUUAACCUUUUGUAAAUAAUCCCACAUGGCCUUUGCAGUCUUGUAUGGCCUGAGAUUAAGAACAAUAAGAGGGUAAAUUGACCCUAAAAUUCAUGUCUAUCACCCGAGCAUCUUUGACCUUCCACUGACCUAACUUUGUAAGAUCAGUAGGAGCAGGAUCACUUCCAUCUAUAUGGCCCCAUAAUUCUUUUCCGUGACAAAUAAUUGAAACUGAAAUGCCCAAGCAGAAUAAUUUUUCCCAGUGAACCAACACUGAAGGACUCAAACCGAUGUGAAGUCAUGUUUUUGAAUAGAGAAAAUCAAAAACACAAUGAUACAGAAAAAAAUAGCUAGAAUAACCAAGAUCAAGACAAAGACCAAAAGCCCUAGAUGCUUAGGACUGCUUGUUAACGAAAAAUCAAGAGAACUAAACUUUCAAAAAAAAAAUUAAAACGAACCACAGAUGAAAGACACUAAGAAUCAAAACUAUGAAAAUAAGGCUAUGAUACCAUGUCAAGAACAGAGAAAGCAUGAGAGAAACCGAAGAAUGACGAUCUCAAUUACUUGAUUCAAAUACAUCAGACAAAUUGGUAUUUAUACACAAGAGAAAUAAGAUAUGAAAGGAAGUAAAAUAUCCUACACUAAAUGUAAAUCCAACAAAAUAAUAUUCAACAACUAAAGCUACACAAUAUUCUAUACUAAAUGUAGAAUAUCCCAUAUAUUCACCCUAUAGAGAAUAUAUUAAUGCAGAAUUUCUACAAUCUGUUCAUUAUGCUAACAAGUUCUACCUUGGGAUUCCGCUACUUUGUCAGUUUCAUUGAUGAUUAUUCUAGGUGCACUUGGAUAUUUUUGAUGAAAAAUCGAUUUGAGUUGUUUUCUAUUUUCCAGACCUUCCACUCUAAAUUCAAAAUCAAUUUGGGGUUCUUAUCAGCACAUUUCGUAGUGAUAAUGCCCUAGAGUAUUUGUCUUCACCAUUUCAGCAGCUUAUGAACACUCAUGGGAUUAUUCACCAAACAUCUUGUUCAUGCUGAAAUUCAAAUCAAUUUGGUGUUUCUAUCCGCACAUUUCGUAGUGAUAAUGCCCUAGAGUAUUUGCCUUCCCUAUUUCAGCAAUUUAUGAACUCCUAUGGGAUUAUUCAUCAAACAUCUUGUCUGUACACAUCCCAACAAAAUGGGGUAGCUGAAAGAAAGAAUAGACAUCUUAUUGAAACUACUCGUACCCUACUCAUAAGAUCUCAUGUUCCGCUGCAUUUUUGGAGGGAUGCAGUUCUUACAUCUUGUUAUCUUAUUGAUCGUAUGCUAUCUUCAGCUAUCCAAAAUCAAGUGCUCAUACCAUACUCAUACAAUCUCAUGUUACGCUACGUUUUAGUUUUUACAUCUUGCUAUCUUAUUAAUCGUAUGCCAUCUUCAGCCAUCCAGAAUACCAUUCUCUGCCCUGUUUUCCCACUUACCUUUGUUUUCUCUUCUACCCCGUGUCUUUAGGAGUAUGUGUUUUGUUCAUGACCUUACUCCAGGAAAAGAUAAGUUAGCUCCUCGUGCUCUUAAGUGCAUAUUUCUGGGUUACUCGAGAACGCAAAAGUGAUAUCGAUGUUAUUCUCCCGACCUUCAGUGGUUUCUUAUGUCUGAUGUUACCUUCUUUGAAAUCGAAUCAUACUUCACAGGUCCAGUUAAUCACUUAGAUACUUCUAAGGUGCUACCAGUUCCGUCUUUUGGAGAUUCAGUCACUAUCUCCCAUUCAUUUUCCUCCAUAGCUCCAGUUGAAGCUCCACCACCUACAGCUCCAGUUGCAGCUCCACCACCUAUAGCUCCAGUGCCACCAGCGAGUCUACUGCCACCACCGAGUCUAGUGCCACCACCGAGUCGAGUUCCACUAAGUAUAGCUCUAUUGCCACCACCUAGUCCAGUUCAACCUUCUACAGCUCCACCAGUCCUGACUUAUCAUUGUCGCUCGCAUCCAGCAUCAGGCCCAACUGAUUCACGUCGUGCACCUAACCCUGCUAACGCUGCAGACUUGUCUCCUCUUGAUAAACCAAUUGCACUACGAAAAGGUAUAAGGUCCACACUUAAUCCUAAUCCUCAUUAUGUCGGUUUAAGUUACCAUCGUCUGUCAUCAUCCCAUUGUGCAUUUGUGUCAUCUUUGUCCUCUGUUUUCAUCCCUAAGUCUACAGGUAAAGCACUGUCUCAUCCCGGGUGGCGACAGGAUAUGAUUGACGAGAUGUCUGUUUUACAUACGAGUGGCACUUGGGAGUUUGUUCCUCUUCCUUCGGGUAAAUCGACCGUUGGUUGUCGUUGGGUGUAUGCAAUCAAAGUUGGUCCAGAUGGCCGGGUUGAUCGACUUAAGCCUCGUCUUGUUGCCAAAGGGUAUACUCAAAUAUCUGGACUCGAUUACAGUGAUACUUUCUCUUUCGUGGAUAAAAGAAUAUCAGUCCGCCUUUUUCUAUCCAUGACUGUUGUUUGCCAUUGGCCUCUCUAUCAGUUAGACAUUAAGAAUGUUUUUCUUCACGGUUACCUUGAGGGUGGGGUUUAUAUGGAGCAAUCACCUGGUUUUGUUACUUAUAGGGAGUCUAGUGGCCUUGUAUGUCGGUUGCGCCGGUCCCUGUAUGGUCUAAAGCAGUCUCCUCGAGCCUGGUUUGGUAAGUUCAACACAGUUAUUCAGGAGUUUGGCAUGACUCGUAGUGAAGCUGAUCACUCUGUAUUUUAUCGACAUUCUGCUUCAAAUCUCUGUAUUUAUCCGGUCAUUUAUGUUGACGAUAUUGUUAUUACCAGCGAUGAUCAGGAUAGUAUUAGUAUGUUGAAGCAACAUCUCUUUCAGCACUUUCAGACUAAGGAUCACGGCAGAUUAAAGUAUUUUCUAGAUAUUGAGGUCGCUCAGUCUAUUCAGGUAUUGUGAUCUCACAACGGAAGUAUGCCUAAGAUAUUCUUGAAGAGAUAGGAAUGACAGGUUAUACACCUGUUGACACUCUGAUAGAUCUGAAUUCUAAACUUCUACCAGGAUAGGGGGAGCCUCUUAGCGAUCCUGCAAGAUAUAGGCGGUUGGUUGGUAAAUUAAAUUACCUCACAGUGACUAGACCUGACAUUUCCUUUCCUAUGAGUGUUGAGUCGGUUUAUGGAUUCUCCCUAUGAUAGUCAUAGGGAUGCAGUUGUCUGCAUUCUUCGGUAUAUGAAAUCAGCUCCGGGCAAAGGCUUAUUGUUUGAGGAUCGAGGCCAUGAGCAGAUUGUUGGAUAAUCAGAUGCUGAUUGGGCAAGAUCACCUUUUGAUAGACGUUCUAUGUCUGGAUAUUGUGCUUGGUAGGAGGAAAUUUGGUAUCUUCGAAGAGCAAGAAACAGAAUGUGGUUGCUUGGUCUAGUGCAGAAAUAGAAUAUCGAGCAAUGGCUAUUGUAACAUGUGAGCUAAUUUGGAUCAAACAGUUGCUCAAAGAGUUGAAAUUUGGUGAGAUUAGUCAGAUGGGACUUGUGUGUGAUAAUCAAGCUGCUAUUCAUAUUGAGUCAGAUCCAGUGUUCCAUGAGAAAACUAAACACAUUGAGAUUGACUGUCACUUUGUUAGAGAAAAGAUACUCUUGGGAAAUAUUACUACAGAGUUUAUGAAGUCGUAUGAUCAGCUUGCAGAUAUUUUCACCAAGUCCCUCACUUGUACUCGUAUUAACUACAUAUGUAACAAGCUCGGCACAUAUGAUUUAUACAGUGUUAGCGGAAACGUAAAAGAAAGAACACAAGAUUUAACGUGGUUCAGAUCAAAAUAAUCCUACGUCCACCAGAGAACAAUUGACUUUCUAUUAUUUACAAAGGAAGGGGAGAUUUCCCAAUUACACUAAGAGAAUUUCUAUCUUAACUCUCUACUCACUACAAUGUAUAUUAUUGUUCUUGGGAUGAUUUCUACAAGUGAAGGAGUGCAUCUAUUUAUAGAGGUAAAGACCUCCACUUGAUGUCAUUGGUGACAUCUAACUACCUUCUCUUGAUGUCAUGGGACAUCAAAGGAGGAAGCUUCCUCCUAGCAUCCACACCAACUUUUUCCACCAACUCUUCCAAUUGGCAUGCCAUUGUUGACUAAACAUAAACCAACAUUUUCAAUCUCCACCUUGGUUUNNNNNNNNNNNNNNNNNNNNNNNNNNNNNNNNNNNNNNNNNNNNNNNNNNNNNNNNNNNNNNNNNNNNNNNNNNNNNNNNNNNNNNNNNNNNNNNNNNNNNNNNNNNNNNNNNNNNNNNNNNNNNNNNNNNNNNNNNNNNNNNNNNNNNNNNNNNNNNNNNNNNNNNNNNNNNNNNNNNNNNNNNNNNNNNNNNNNNNNNNNNNNNNNNNNNUUCGGAGUUGCAUCAGUUGAUGCACACCCCCGCCAAGUCCUUGCAGUGUGCAAACUUAGCGAGCGGGACUAUCUUGGUCAACAUGUCUGCAGCACUAUCGUCUGUGAUAACCUUCACGACCUGGAUAGUUCCCUCAUCAAUAACAUCUCGAAUAAAAUGAAACCUGACAUCAAUGUGUUUAGUGUGCUCAUGAAAUCUCUGAUUUUUCAUUAGAUGAAUAGCACUCUGACUAUCACAUCUAAGAGUUGAUUCCAGCUGAACCAAACUCAAUUCCGCUACUAAACUUUUCAACCAGAUAGCUUCCUUUAACGCCUCCGCUGCUGCCAUGUAUUGUGCUUUUGUCGUAGACAAAGUGACAAUCGACUGCAGAGUCGACUUCCAACUGACGGCACUGCCAACGAGGGUAAAGAUGUAUCCAGUUGUGGACCUUCUGUCAAGAUCUCCUGCAUAGUCAGAAUCCACAUAACCGAGAAUUGAAAUACCUCCACCACUUUUUCGAAAGGUAAGACCAACACCAGAAGCUCCUUUGAGAUAUCUCAAUAUCCACUUGACAGCUUCCCAAUGCCUCUUUCCUGGGUUGGACAUGUAUCUACUUACCACACUUACAGAUUGAGCAAUAUCUGAACGUGUGCAUACCAUAGCAUACAUAAUGCUACCAACUGCACUAGCAUAAGGAAUCUUUGAUAUAUGCUCCACCUCAUCCUCGGACUGAGGCAUUUGUGACUCUGAAAGUUUAAAAUGAGGAGCUAAUGGUGUACUUACAGGCUUGCAUGUAUGCAUAUUGAAUCUCUAGAGAACCCUUUCAAUAUACCUCUUUUGAGAAAGAUGUAAAACAUCGUCUUCUCUUGAAAUCUUCAUACCAAGGAUUUUCUUUGCAUCUCAUAAAUCCUCCAUUUGAAAUUCCUUACUCAACAGUUUCUUCAAAGGAUUUAUCUCUAUAAUAUUGUUAGCAACAAUAAGAAUAUCAUCAACAUACAAUAUUAAAUAAAUCAUUGAGUUACUAGACAUCUUCUUGUGAUACACACAGUUAUCAAAUGCAUUCCCUGAGAAUUCAUGUGUAGUCAUGAAUGCAUCAAACCUGUUGUACCACUGUCUAGGGGAUUGCUUCAAACCAUACAAAAACUUCUUUAGUUGGUUACCACUAUCUAGGGGAGUGCUUCAAACCAUACAAAGACUUCUUUAGUUGGCAUACGUGAUCUUCUUUUCCCUCGGCUAGGAAACCUUCAGGUUGAUCCAUAUAGAAUGUCUCUUCUAGAUCACCGUGUAAGAAAGCAGUUUUGACAUCAAGCUGUUGAAGCUCCAAGUCNNNNNNNNNNNNNNNNNNNNNNNNNNNNNNNNNNNNNNNNNNNNNNNNNNNNNNNNNNNNNNNNNNNNNNNNNNNNNNNNNNNNNNNNNNNNNNNNNNNNNNNNNNNNNNNNNNNNNNNNNNNNNNNNNNNNNNNNNNNNNNNNNNNNNNNNNNNNNNNNNNNNGCUUUUGCAACCAAUCUCGCCUUGAACCUAGCAUCUUCCACUUCAGGAAUUCCCUCUUUCUUUCAGUAGACCCAAUUGCAUCCAACUGUCCUCUUCCCCUUUUGUCUUUUCACUAAGACCUAUGUCUGAUUCUUGUGAAGAGACUCCAUCUAUUCAGUCAUGGCUAACCGCCAUUGUGCAGCAUCCUUGCAAGAAGUUGCUUCAAUAUACGAGGAGGGCUCUAGAUCCUUAAUCUCUUCUUGUGCAGCUACGAACGCAUAUGCAAUCAAGUUUGCUUGAUUUAUAAAGCGUUCCGGUUCUCGUGUCUGCCUCUUCUCCCUCCCCUUCACAAUUGUGUAUGGUUCAUUGACAGCAAGUUCUUCAAGGCCUACAUCUUCUGACUCAUCUUUAACCCGAGUUUCUCCCUCCUCUUCGCAAUUGUGUAUGGUUUAUUGACAGUAAGUUCUUCAUGGUCUACAUCUUCUGACUCAUCUUUAACCUGAGUCUCUUGAUCCUUUUCCUUGGCAAGCUCCACCGGAAGCUCCACCUGCUCGUCGUUCUUGUUUCUUGAAAACUCCACGAAAACUUUACGGAGAUCAAGUAUAGAGGAUUCAUCGAAGGUGACAUCUCUACUAACUAUAAAUUUGAGUAAAGACAAACACCAAAGUCUGUACCCUUUUACUUCAUCCACAUACGUUACGAAUAUGGCUUUCUUAGCCCUUGGUUCAAGAUUUCCUUCAUUAACGUGAUAAUAAGCUGGACACACAAAUACUCGUAAAUAUGAAUAGUUAGAGGGUUCACCUGACCAUACCUCAUUUGGAGUCUUAAAGUCAAUUGCCGAUGCUGGAGAUCGAUUGACAAUAUGAGCAGCAGUGUGAACUGCUUCAGCCCAAAAUACUUUGGACAUUUUGGCUUGUAGGAGCAUACAACGAGCCUUUCAAGAAGAGUUAUGUUCAUUCUCUCGGCAACUCCAUUCUGCUGUGGGGUAUGCCUGACAGUCCUAUGUCUUGAGAUCCCAUGAACCUUGCAAUACACCCAAACCUUUCGUGAGAAAUCAUCAAUAAAAGUGAGAACAUACCUCUUUCCGCCCUUCGAUGGAAGUUUAGAAGGACCCCAUAAAUCUGAAUGGAUGUAGUCUAGCACUCCUCUUGUCUUGUGUUUGCCAGUGCUGAAGCUGGCCUUCUUCUGCUUCCCUAGAAUGCAGUGCUCACAGAAGUCAAGUGUGCUAAUCUUCUCAUCUUCCAAAAGGUUACGAUUGCUCAACAUCUCCAGUCCACGUGCGCUCAUAUGACCUAGUCCCAUAGUCUUUCCUUGUCAUCAUUAGAUAACUGUCAAGUGUGCUGAUCUCCUCACCUUCCAAAAGGUUACGAUUGCUCAACAUCUCCGGUCCACGUACGCUCAUAUGACCCAGUCUCAUGUGCCAUAGUCUUGCCUUGUCAUCAUUAGAUAACCGCACUGUAGAUGCAUUUGCAGAGCCAACAAUGGUGCCUCCGGCCAAUGAGUAAAGGCCGUUCUCCAGCUUGCCUUUCAGCAUGACUAGAACCUUUAGUCACCUUCAUAGUUCCUGCUUCGCUCAUGCACAUGUAGCCUUGUUCAUCCAGAGUACCCAAGGAGAUCAAAUUCUUCUUCAGAUCAGGAACAUGACAGACUUGUGUAAUAGUCCUCACGACUCCAUAAUGGCAACGAACCCGAACAGAGCCAAUGCCAACUAUUGCACAAGUUGCAUUAUUGCCCAUUACUACGGUUCAUCCACAUUACUCGUAGCUGCUAAACCAGUCUUUCGGAACGACAUAUGCAGAGUACAAGCAGAGUCUAACACCCAUUUGUUUUCAAACUACUAUUAUUGUUACACGAUGUUGGUAGUACAUAAUCAUUAUCAAAAUCAAGUACCUGUUCAACUAUAGAUGCACUCGACUUUUCCUUGGACUUUGACAUUGGGCAAUCUCGUUCAAAGUGCCCCUUCUUGCCACAACCCCAACACUCUGUUUUCUUCUUGUUCACACAAGACUUUGAUCUGUCCUUUGAUCUGCUCUUUCCCUGUUGGCUAGUCCGGCCUCUCACAAAGAGCCAACUUGUCUGGUCAUCUAUAUCUCCUUCAAUGUGCCUCCGCACAUCACUAGAGUUAAGUGUCUGCCGCACUUGCUCAAGCUUGAUAGGCUCCCUUCUAUACAUCAUUGAAUUCUCAAUAUCACAAUAUCAUGAAGUCAAUGAAAAUAACAAAGCACAUGCAAGCGUCUCCUCCUCCCUAUUAAUUCCUGCAAUUUGUAAGUCCAUGACAAGUUUAUUGACCCUAAAGUCAAUGAAAAUAGCAAAGCACAUGCAAGUGUCUCCUCCUCCCUUUUAAUUCCUGCAAUCUGUAAGUCCAUGACAAGUUUAUUAAACGCAUCUAAAUGAUUUUGUAACGAAGUACCUGGCCACAUCUUAAAUGUGUGAAGCCGUUGUAACAACAUUCUUGUUGUCACUGAUCGGUCUUGGUAUAGCCUUUCUAAGACCCCCACCUUAAAUGUGUGAAGACGCUGUUGUAACAACAUUCUUGUUGUCACUGAUCGGUCUUGGUAUAGCCCUUCUAGCUUUUCCCAUAACUCUUUGGUCGUCUCUUCGGUACCCCUACUCACUUCACAGAGCACGUUAGGUGCAAGGGAUAGUUGGAUUGCACUCAAUGCAUCCCCUUCAAUUUUAGGAUACUUUCCGUUAAUAGCAUGGAUUGAACCUUCCUUCCGCAGUUACGCCAUCAUCUGGAUCUUCCAGAUAUUGAAGUUGUUGCGUCCAUUGAAUCUAUCAAUUUAAAACUUCAUGGAACUCAUCUUUGCUUGUUCUUCAUUCUUGGAUCGUUAAAGAAUCUUGCCGCUCUGAUACCAAUUGUUAGCGGAAACGUAAAAGAAAGAACAAUUGCCUUUGUAUUAUUUACAAAGGAAGGGGAGAUUUCCCAAUUACACUUAAGAGAAUUUCUCUCUUAACUCUCUACUNNNNNNNNNNNNNNNNNNNNNNNNNNNNNNNNNNNNNNNNNNNNNNNNNNNNNNNNNNNNNNNNNNNNNNNNNNNNNNNNNNNNNNNNNNNNNNNNNNNNNNNNNNNNNNNNNNNNNNNNNNNNNNNNNNNNNNNNNNNNNNNNNNAAAGACCUCCUCUUGAUGUCAUUGGUGACAUCAAACUACCUUCUCUUGAUGUCAUGGGUGACAUCAAAGGAGGAAGCUUCCUCCUAGCAUCCACACCAUACUCUUCCAAUUGGCAUGCCAUUGUUGACUAAACAUAAACCAACAUUUUCAAUAUGCACCAGCUUAGGGAGAGUGUUAGAAUAGUUAUGUGAAUGUAUGUAAUUAGUCAUAUUUCCUUACGUAAUAGGAGUAGGUCAUAUGUUAUGUAUACAUAUAAAUAGGGCUUAUUGUAACAUAGAACAUUAAUCAAUAAUAUUUUCUCCCGUGCUUUCUCACAUUUUCAAUUGGAGACAUGAUGGCUCCAUAAUUAUAUGGAAAUUAUCAUUCAUUAUGACGAGUAGUCGUACCCGCGCGAUGCGCGGUCAAUAAUAAAAAAUAUUAAUUAAAUUAUAAUCGGGCUUGUUUGAUCCUAUUAGACCGUAUUGCUGUAAUAAAUUUCAAUUAUCAUCUUAUUGUCAAUACAUAUACCCAACCCUCACUGUUGUUUGAGUAGUUAAUUUAUGUAGUUAAAUUUCUUUGUUAAUUUUCAAUAAAUAAUUUUUGUUAUUAACUAAUUAUGCAUGUGGAUUUUUUCUAGGCUACCGCUUGGAUUAAUGUGGUACCUUUUUCUUUGGCUUUUAAUAACAUAUAGAUAUAUUAUUGGCAUAUUACUUGUUUAAUAUUUUUGUCUGCUAAUUUUUUGUAAUAUAUUAGAAGAUAUAUAUUUUGUUACUCUUGAAAAUAUAUAUUCCUUAUUUUAAAUUUUAUUAUAUUUUUCUCAAUAAUAUUGUUUAAAUUUUAAUGAAUAAAUAUAGUUUUAUUUCAAAAAAAAUGAUUUAAAAAAUAAAAUAAAGAAAUUAACUAACUAAAACCAACCCUCACCCAUGUUUUAGUAUUUAUUUAGGUAGUUAAUUUUUUUGUUAAUUUUUAAUAGAUAAUUUCUUUAUUAUUAACUAAUUAUUCCAUAAGGUUUUUUUUCUAGACUAACACUUGGCUUAAGGAGAUGGUGCUAUCCUCCCCUUUUAAUAAUACAAGAAAGCGUGAUAUCUAAGAGAAUUUACACUAAGGUAUGAUAUGAGAUUGGUAUUGGAUAAAUGAGUAACCAACAAAAUAUAUAAAGAAAUAAACUAUCCAUUACAAAGAUAUAAGACAAACAAAAUACUCAUGGAAUCAGACAAAAGAUGUUCAUAUAUAUAAAUAUAUUUAUGGCAUCAUAUUUUUUAUGAGAAAAAUCCAAAAGAGAAGUACACCAAGAGGGAAAAAGAAAACCUCCAAUGAAACCUUCAAUACACCUUUUGCUUACGGUGGCUUUGCGCCAAAGAAAAAAGUUGUCGACGGACAGCUUCGUCGGAACUCAAUUGUGACCCCAUCGCUGCUUAGUGUGGCUUUGAGCCAAAGAAAAAAGUUGUCAACGGACAGCUUCGCCGGAACUCAAAUGUGACCCCACCGGAGCCCCCUUUUUGUACUGUUUUCACUCAGAUCUGAAACGCCAAAAAUUGGGUUUUAUCUGCUGGUUUUAAUGGUAUUUGGCAGCAGGUUUUGCUGUGUUUCAGGAGAUAAGAAGUUAAAAUUUUAGACUGAUUUUCAUUGGAAUUGUGGUGAAGAAUUUGAGCUCUUCUUUUUUAUUGUAUUGUUUUUGCUCAAUUUGAGAGGUUGUUUGUACUAUUUUGUGGCUAAAACCAGUAGCUGGUGAUUAAGGGGAGUAAAAGAAAACCCCUUAUUUUGUGUGUGAAGAUGACGAGCUUAAUUGUGGGAUUUGACAUAAAGAAAUUGCCGAUUUCAAGCUCUUUUCCUUUUUCAAGUUUCUUUUUCUCCUCCCUUUUAUUCUGAAGUUCCCUAAUUAUAUAUAGAUAUGUGUGUAUAACUGAUGUGAGAAAGUAGUGAGAUGAGUGGGGGAAGUGGGGGAAGGGACGUGAGGUAGUUAGGAUCUACGGGGAUAAGACGUGAGGGAAUUGGGGGAAGUUAGAGGAUCAUUAAAUUAAUAGAUUCUAAGAUAAAAUUGUUCAGCAGUUUUUUAGGAAGUUUUUUCAAACAAAAUCUAUGUAAAUAACUUAUAUGGAAAUAACGUAAUUUAAGUAAGAUUUUAUUUUAGGUAGUUAUUAGAAUUCCUAAUAUGUUGGAGCCUUGUCCAAAAAUGCCAUGUGGAAGUGUAUUAUUACGACACUUGGCUUCACGAGAGGCCUUUAUCCUUGGCUUUUAAUUACAUAUAGAUACUUUAUCUACUCCUACAAGUAUCCUUUGCUUUAUUAUUUGUAUAGUUUGGCCCUGUUUAAGUAGAAUCAAACAUCACGAAAUUUGUUCCAAUAGAAUUCAUGCAUCACCAGCAACAUGAGGAUCCUCAACCACUCUCUGAGAUUCUUAAACCAAGUCGGUAACCGGAGAAAACAAUCUUUAACUUUAAAUAGAAGAUAUAUCACGUCAGUAUAUCUUCAAAUUUUGCAGACUGAUAGCAAGAAAUGCUAGGAUACUACUCAUGAGUCAAAACAUAAAUUGGACCAUGUUGUACAAAUCCAGUACAUGAGUAACUAGUUAACUAUCCUUGAAAGAGAAAAUGUAGAAUCGUCUAAGGCUUAACAUUUUUAGACUAGUGUACACUGCUUGCUACUUAGCUUUUCAAAUCAAAUAACAACUGAUUCUUCUUUGUUGAUUUACUUUAUUCAUGAAUACAACUCUUUAUGCACAAGUAUUCUUAAAACUAGCAUAUUUCAAUUGGGUGACCAACAUUUAUGGGGCUCUAUCUUGUAUCAAUUAUAAAACAAAAUGAAGGAAAAAAUUUAAUGAUUAAGUAUCAGAUAUAAAACAAAAUGAAGGAAAAAACUUCAUGAUUAUCUGAUGAUUUACCCUGCCAUUUGUAGUUUCACUCUCUCCACCACAAGAAAAGUUAAAGAUGCUGCCAUGAUAGCCAUAUAUCUAUGGUCUACAAUCCAUUCUGGCCUUCUGUUUUUUACUUCUCCUCAUCGCCAGCACUCUUACCACUUUCCUGAGACCUUGAACUUUAUAUUUUUCACUUUCAAACCACAGCUUAAACGUACUCUCAAAAUACUUAACUUUCAAAUCAAGCUUCAAAGGACAUAAAGGGCAUAUCUAUCAUGAACACUCCUCUCGGGAUGAUCUUCCAAGCCCUAAUGAGGACAGUUUUGGAUAUGAAAUUAAGACCAAUUUAACUCGGUGUAUACUUAAGGAAUAUGUUGGAUGCUGAUAAACUACAAACUUGAGAAUCGUUUAUUUAUCCAUGGACUAUUUCGAGACAUUGCAACAUGCUAAAUUAAAAUGAAAUAACAGAAGAUGGUUACUAAGGAGGCAAUUCUAAGUUAGAGAAUGAAUGGUUCAUGGAGGUUACCGCAGCAGUCUGGGCCAAUCACUGCAUGCAAGAAUCUUGAUGGAACUCCUGCACUAACAUCAUCUCUUCUUGCCUUCAGAAAAAUAUUCAGCCUGUGAAUUCCUUGACAUGAUCCAACAACUUCCAGCUGCGGUGAAUAUCCGCAGUAGAACAACGCUGCCGAUUGAGGAAGUGGAAUGUCGGAGAUAGUAGUAUUUCUCUUGGCCACGCUAUAAGAUCUUACAUAGGCAGGCAACGGUAAGCCACUAGGAAAAUAGUACUCUCCAUUUGCUUCAAAUGAUUUUGGCUUGACUGCAUAGUAGAUUCAUCUAUAUCAUGCAAAUCAAACUUCAAGCCAGACCGAGGACUUCCCAAAGGGGAGGAACUUAUCGUGGAAGCUGCUGAUGACCUCGCAGAGAAUGACCGACCAAGAGGUUCACGAAUACUUUCUGAAUCUGAAUUAGUAAAAUUUCUAUCAUAAUAAGCAUCAUUUCCAGGUAAUUCCACAUGAAUCUUUUUCUGUCCUCGUUUACCAACAUUCGAGGCCGACCUCGUUAUGUCAUUCUUUGUGGCUUUUCUAAGAAUGUCUAGACCACUUCCUUUGCUGUUGACUGCUGCCUCACCUCUUCGCAUGCCAUCGAUAAAAGGGUCAUCUCUGACACGUGUAUAUUUUUCCUGAAAGUAGAGCAGAAAGAUGUAAUAGAAGUACUAAUGCAGCUAUAAGCAUGUUUUUCGUCAGGUCCAGCAAGACCACAGAUGCACGCUUGAUCAAGUAUGCCGAUUGGAGUUACACUGCAAAAUCACACAUUACAGGCCUUUUCUACAUCACUGUUUGGAUAACUGAAUAUGAUAAUACAAAAAUCAAAGGAGCACUAAACUCCAUUUUCAUUUAUAUUAGAAGUAAUUCCAGGAAUUUUAAGAAUUAUGCCUUAAUUUGACUAUAACAUAUUGGGACAGCGAUGUGGUUUAUGGAAAGAGCAUCUAAAGCAUGAGCGCCAGCAAUGUUCCGAUCCUUAAGCAUCGCAAGGUCAAAAUUAAUACUCCCUCAUAAGGUAGUUUGACUCGACACGGAGUUUAAGAAAAAAAAGAAUACUUUUGAAAUUUGUGGUCUUAAGUUAAACUUAAGGGGUAAAAUUUUUGUGGAGUCAUGAUAUUUGUGUGGCUUAAAUGGGUAAAAUGAAGAGUUUAAAGUAGAAUUAUUUCCAAAUUUAAAAAUGUGUCAUUUAUUUUAGAACUGACUAAGAAAUGGAGGGAGUAAUUUUCUAGACCAGCCAAAGAGUGAACCAUUAAAAAGAAGUUAAUCCAAGUAAAAGCAGCAGUAUUGCAAUGAAUCUAAAGAUUUUGGAAGCUGUUGAUUAACAGUACAAAAAGUGGCAAUCAGAUGUGGCAUAAUUUAUCAAGUUACUUUAGCUAUGAUCAAGCAAUAAAAUGAAGAGUCAAAGAGAUGAAGCUGAAAUUUUUCUCGUGAAAAAUAUUCCAAAUAAUAAUUGAACUUUGAGUUAAAGAAGUAGAUGGAAAGGAAUAUUUCUCACCUUUUGAAGGUGUGCCAUUGGAGACAGGAGGAUGUAUUGAGAAAGUACUGCAGAAGUCUGUCCAAUAGAAAAUACAUAAUAGAGCGAAAGGAAAUGGCCGAUAGAUUUGGACAAAGAGAAUGGGACAGUAAAUAGUACGAAGGACAGAAAAGGAUGACAAAGUAGCGACACUGCAGUGUCUUCGUAGGCAUUGUGGAGUCCGCCAUUGCAGCUGUCUGUAUAAGCAUACAAAACAGUAGAGCAAUGACAUAUUUUCAGCCUUUUAUAACUCCCUCCAAAAAAAAACUUGUGUUACUCGGUGAACCCUGAAGUUUGUGUUGGACACUUUACACACUUGAACAACCAAUUAUGAUCAUAAUUACCGGCAAAAAUGUUAAAAGUAUUUAUUUUGGAAUUAUGUUCAUUUUAAUUUUACCUUUUGAUUUUUUUUCCAUUUUUUACAGUAGUAUGAAUUAAUUUUGUACUUUGCAUUUCUUUCCCUAGCUUUAUAGCCAUUCAAGGGCAUAUUUAUUAGCUACAUGCAGGUAAUCAGUAUUUCUUAUUGGCGAAAUAUAUAAAGCGCCCCUUCAAGUUGUCUUAACGAUCAAUUGAACACGUCAACUAAGAGAUUAUUUUCAAUUAGACACUUUUCAAGUGACUGUUAAGUAAAUCAAAUAGACACGCAAUGUAGUAUGCCAGAUGCGUGAGCUACAUUUCCCAAGUCAAUCAAUAAACGACACGUGUAAUUUGUAAUUAAAACUUAACACAAAUUAACAAAAAAAUAAAUUUAAAGAUGUAAAAACCCUUUCCAGCGCCCUUUUUCUUCCCCCUCAUCUUCUUCUUCCAAACCAAAACCAGCGCCACCCCCAUCCCACCGUAGAGGCCAUUACACUAUUGAUUUGGCAGUUGGAAUUGGAGCUGGGAUUUUGUUUGAUUCAAUGGCGGGAAAGUAUGUGAAGACUAGGACAAAAGAUAUUGCUGCAAAUGGUACUAAUGGCACUACUUAUGGUGCUUUUCACGCCACCUCCCCUAAGCACAAGAAUGGCGGUGUCAAAUAUCAAAGUAUAUCUUCAAAUUAAAAUGUGUUCACUUAAAUGCGGGGUGAAUUUUAUUUUGAGAUGUAGAGAUAACUUUGGCUUAGUCAAUUUGUAGGGUCCUAUUUCCGGCAACCUUCAUUUUUUAUUAACUUUGUUAUCAAGAAGGAUGAAGUAUUAAUGUACUUGCAUAGAUUAUUGGUUUCCACAAAUAACACUUAUACCUUUAAUAUGCGUAAAAAAUUCAUAAAAUUAUCACGAGUUAAACAAUAUUUAACUUUCCAAUUUCAAAUAAAAUGAAUCUCAUCCUCCAUUCUUAAUUUGUUACAAGUUACAACCUCCUAGUUGAGUAGUGACCAAGUCCAAGACCAACUUUGGGCCUACAAAGGAUCAUGUGUUUGCGUCAAUGUUUAGAUAGAUCAAUGGAUAGAAACAUUUUAAAACAUGUAAUCCAUAACUCAUUGGAUGUAAUGCACCCUCAUGUCUAGUAUUGAUAGAAACUAGCAUACUGCUUUUUCGCCAAGCUUUCACUCUUUAGUCAAAAGUGAAUCCCACCCAAAUCAAAAAUUAAAAACAGAAACAAAACCAGUAACCAAUGAUAAGGAAUAUCAUUGGUGUUUCCCACAUAUGUGAUUACUUAAAUUGAUGGUUACUGAGAUGGUAAGACCUCUGGCAAAAUUAUACUAUUCACAAAGUCUAUUCUUCUACUUCUUGUUCAAAGCAAGUGCUAGGUCCCUCAGCUCCUCAAAGGCUUGCAUUGUUUCUGCAUCAAAUCCUCCCGCAAACUGUACCAAUAAAGACAAAAGCUAAACUAAGAUAUGAUAUUUUGAACAACUUGUAAAAAAGACCAGUUCAGUCCACCAAUCCAUUCUUCAUGUAGUAAUAUUGUUUAUCAAUUGCUAUACAUAGAGUUCAUCCCUUUUUAGUAAUUCUAUUUCUUUUUGUUGCAGAAUUAGCAAAAUUGUUUAAGGGAGAAAGUGAAAGAUCGCGAUAGGAGAAAAUAUACAAGCCAGUAUUUAGUAAGAUUGCAACACAAACCUGAUGAAUUCGGAAGGCAAAUCUCACUCCUUGAAGUAGCAUGUAGUCCAUAGAAGUGUCUUUAUCCAAUGGUCCCUUUGACUGAAGCUCAGCAGCUACCCUCUUCAUGUACAUCUUGGCCAACUUCACUGACCCAAACUUUAUCUGCAUAAUUUCUUUUAAAACUAAGUCUACAGCAAAAUGACAACUAUACAUAUUGCCAAGAAAAAAGCAUUGAACAUUCUAUAAAGGAGGACAUGCACGUAUGCAAGAAGAUCUGGAGGACAUGCACGUAUGCAAGAAGAUCACUGCAUAAAUAUGAGCAUCUUCUUCAGUAUUGAGACGUUGGACGUUGAAUAUGGCGUAAAAGAAUGUAGUAUAAGAUAAUCUGCAAUCUUGAAACUUGUCAUCUGUCUCAUAUCAUCAUAUAAGACACAAACAAGAUCUAGGAAGCAGAAAAUCACUUGUACUAUUCCCCUAAAAGUUUGGAUUCCCUUCUAUGGUGAACCAUAUACAAUGCCUAAAAGCAGUUCGGCAACCUAAUAAAUAGUAAUGGUUAUUUAUCGCUAAACAAGUUAGCACAGUUUAUAAUUUUGUACAUCCAUUUGUGACUACUUAUAUCUUAUUUGCUACUCAAAUCAAGCUCUAUUACCAUUUGAAUACCUAAAUCUACCCAAGACUUUUUAUUUGGAAACAGCAAGAAACAAACAAUGAAAUAGCCGAACCUUGCUUAGUAUCCCAUUAUCAAGCAUCCAGUCCGCGGGGAUUUUGAACUCUUUGCAAUGACGCAUCAACGAGUCUCUUGUUCGAUGAAGGUUAUAGACACUACGCUCCAUCCUGUGAUUUGAAGAUAAAAUUUGAACAACCAGAUAAAAAAUCACUAUUAAACUUUCCAAGCAGAAAAACAAGGAGGCAAAACAUAACAUAUCUGACAUUACAAACAAAGCUUGAGGUCUUACUUCUCUGACAAAGAAACCAUCUUCUUUAGUGCAAUAUCACAUGGCAAUCGAGGAUCGUCCUUGUAACUUGAAACUUCAUUCUCCAACUUCUUAAGAUCUUUAUAUCCAAAAGCUGCCUCCCUUAGUGUAUCUGCUUUUCUCUCAGGCCAGUCGAAGUGCUUUAGCACUGCCCUUUCGUCCACCUUCAAAACAGCGCAAGCAUAAUGAUCAAAAUUUAGCAGUAAAUUAUAAGCUGCAUCUCCAACUUAAUAUAUGACAUGUAGCAGAUAAAGCACCUCAAUAUUGGCCGAAUUUUCUUGGAACUGCCAUUUAAGUACAUUGGAUUCAGUUCGUAAAUGAUUACUGAACUGAAUGUCACUAAAGUGAAAUAAACUAGAACCGAAACGGGACUCUUCUAAGAUUCUAUUCUUCAUUUUCAAUUGAAUGAUCCUAAGUUUUCCAAAAUGAGACAAUAGAAACCGUAUCUUCAUUGUUAGAGUCAAUAAAGAUUUCAAAAUGUAUUCUCACCAGAAAGCAAAGUUCAUCAUCUAGCCAUUUCACAAAAGCAACUAUGUCUUCAAUAUCCGCAAAAACUGCAUGGUUGACCUCUGCUAUCAGGGAGUUCACAAAUUCUGCUUGGGUCUCCACGUCUUCCUUUAUCUACAAGUGGAACAAUAACAUGCAAUCAGGAGCAAAAUAAAGUCCAGAGACUGAAAUGGAAAAUAUCUGGGAAAAAUCUAAAUAUGGAUCAUAUAUGGAUCAUAUAAAUGGUAAAGGAGGACAAGGAAAGUGUUCUUGGACAUCUUGAGUCAUUAUAGUGCAAUUUAGUGAUCAUUGAUAUUGACAAUAAUAGUAUGAUAAGAGCAGGCAGAAAGAACUCACAGCCAGCAAAUAAGAUGAUCUGUUCUCAAUUUCGCCAAUCAUGCUACUACGAACGUCUGCAACACUUGAGGGAUCACAUGCUCCUCCAUUUAAUGAAUCCUUCCUAGAAUCUCUCUUCAUUAAUGAAUGAUAAAACUCUACUACUUGAGGAGCUCUCUGCACCGUGCCCGAUGUAGUUUUUGCCAUAAGUUUAGGAGGAGGUGGCGGAGGAGGGGGAGGUGGUGGAGGAACAGGAACUUGAACACAAUUUUCUCCUUCUGUUGCACUUAAAGCAACAGAUGAAGGCCUUGGAGGAGGAUUAGGAAUUCGCAAGACACGUUUCUCAACCAUCUCCAAAGGAUUGGUGGUUAAUUUAUGUUGGGAAACAAGAGGCUCAAUCUCCUUCUCCACUUCCUUGGAACACAUAAAACCAUCAGAUUGUCUUCUCUUAUUACUGUAUAUCAAGUCCUCUAGAUAAAAUUUUGAUCCACUUAUCGAGUGCCUGCGAGUAGAACUUUGUGUAUCCUCCCAACUAUGAUUAAUGGUAUUAUCCGGGCUAUCAACUAGUUGCAUAACUUCAUCGGUAAUAGGCCAUUUCUUUAGCUUCUUAACAAGGCUUAACCUCCUAGCACUGCUACUAUAUUUUGAGUCCUCAUCACUAUGAUCAUAAGACAGGCAAAGUGAUUCCCUACUUUUCUCACUGCCUUGAGGGCUACAAGUCUUAUCACAAGUCGUGGACGAGCAAUUGCGCAAUUCUUCGCGCAAGCAUGAGUUCACCCACCUUAAGUAGGCAAGCUCCUCAACUUCAUUCAAUCGAUUCAUUUGAAGACCCUCAACUUGUUUGCAAAGGUUUUCAUUUGUGUGUCUCAAUAAAGAAGCCUCUGCUUUAAUAUUCUCAAUUGUUUCCCCCUAAUAAGAACAAAAUGAAACAAAGAGAAACAAGAUAUAAUCAAGCCAACAAUUACAACUGUCGUACAAAUUCAUUUUUUCCUACACUAUAACAACAACAACUACCCAAUAAAAUCCCACAAAGCGGGGUCCAGGGAAGGUAAUGUCUACAUAGAAUUUACCCCUAUCCCGAUAGGGCGGAGAGGCUGUUGCCGAUAGACCCUCGGCUCAGAAAGACGGAAAUAAAAAACAAGAAAAGUUAAUUCAUUAGUGACUCCAGUAGAAACUAUAAUAGUAACAUAAGCAUGACAACCAAAAGAUGAAUGACAUGCAAUAACAGUAACCAGAAUUUGAGGCUCGGGGCUACGAUAAACAGCAAGGAUAGUGUGAAAAAAUACAUAAUGGGAGCUUAACGCACUGGGCUGCCCUUUAUGCAUGAAAAAUACAAGAUAAAGUUUGAACCACAUUUUUCAGUAUUUCGCUAACAAACUACUAGAGAAAACUAUGCAUUAAAGAGAUUUAUGGCCACAUUAUCAAGGUUUUGCAAAUUCAAGAUUUCAAAACUGAAAUGAAAACUGAAUAAUUUUAUAGACAAAGCAGUCAAAGUACCUCAGAAAGCCUACAAGCAAUAUCUCUUUUCUGAAGCUGGAGCUCCUUAUUCAAGCGCCUCAACUCCACAACCUCCACUUCCAAACUAGUCACACUUUUAUAUUCUUCCCUAUUGGAUAUCUCAUCUUGCCUCUCAAGAGCAGCACUCAAAGAAACUAGUUGAUCAGUAAGCCUUGCCUUUUCACAUUCCAGCAAUUCUACUUUCUUCACAAAGCUAUCAAUCUCACUCUUCUUCAACUCCAGUUCCCUCCCGAGCUCGACAACUUUUGGACUCCUCUUGAAUUCUGAUAACUCAGCCUGCAACUUCAAUUCCCUUCCCUUUGAUUCUUGUAACAAGCUCCUCAAAUGAUCAAUUUCAUUGAGUAAAUCACGUGAACCGGAAGUUUUAGCCCUGUGGAUAUUAACUGUUUGAGGAUGAACUUGAGUGGAAGUGGCUGAACAUGACAAGUCUCCCAUUAAUGACCUCUUCACCCUUGGUUGAGUAAUCCCAGAAGAGUUCUUUUGGUUCGAGUUUUCGUUGACAGAAAGUGGCUCUUUCCUUGCAUGAAUUGUGGUAUGUAACUUAGAUUUUUUAUCCCCCGAGAAACCUCUCACUAUAUGAGAACCCCAUGAAGAUCUCACCUUUGAUAGAUUACUACUAUUCCCUUUUGCAUUGCUAUUAGUAUUACUGCCCUUUGGUGCCUUAUUUUGAUCACCAAAUUUUGAAGCUUUCGCUCUAUUCUCUGAUGAUUUUUCCUCUCCCAUUCUGAACAACUAUAAAGAUUCCACCCCCUUAUACUUAAAACCCUGAAUAACUUAAUUAUGAGGUCAGAAACUCCAAGAUUCCAUUGGAUUAAGCUCUAAACCCCUGAAGAUACAAAGAGGGUUUCCUCACAAAAUGACUAAACCCAAGUUUGAAGCUCAAUACUUUUUCACCGUAAAAUUGAGCUCUAAAGAAGUUUAGCAAAGCUCAAAAGUGAAACUUUUGCACCAUAUUUUCAGCAUUGAUCACCACAGAUAUCAAAUGCGUUUCAUUAGUUUGAAGCUCAAAACUAAAACAUUUCCACUGCAUAUUAACUUUGGAAAAUGAAGGAUUUAUAUGGGUUUUCUCAGAAAAGAAACUAGACCAUAAUCUGGAGCUCAAAAUUAAAACUUUUCCACCAUAAAUUCAGCUCUAGAAACUCAAUUUGAUAUGUGUAAAACCUCAAAAAGUUCAAGAGUUUCCCUUUAUAUAAAGCUUUUGGAAGCUGAAGAAUUAAAUGAGUUUCACUAAAGAUUCAAUUUUGACUAGUCUAAAAACCUGCAAAAAUUAAAGCUAUGGGUAUUUAUUGUCUUUUGAUCGUGCAAAGAAGACGCUCCUCUUUGAUGACUUUUCAAUUGACAAAUCAUUAGUUAAAGAGAGCUGAAAAUGGUGGAAGAAAAGGCUCACGCUUUGAGGGUUCACUACACUGUGCUUGGGAGAGAAAAAAGGGGAAGAUUGUCGCAGCUUUAAUGGCCGUUUGAAUUUUGAAAUUUGAAUUUGUUAUUUUCCUUUUUUCUUUUAUUUCUCCCCAGAUAUUUGCAAGUAUUGAUGGUAAUACAUAAUUGAUCUUAGCCGUAUGUUUUAGUUGGUCCCACAAGCUUGCGUUGGAGUGGUCUUAACUGGACGGUUGAGAUUUCCAACAAAGAAAAAGGUUCUGCAACGGUCGACUACCGCGCUUGACCUUAUACGUAAGCCUGUUCAAAUAUUAAAUGCAAAGUUCAAAUUUAGCUUCAAAAGAAUCUCACUUUAGCAAUAUAUCAUGUAUGUCCUUGUACUAUUAAGAAUAGGUCAUAUUUAUCCUCCGUUUGAAUUCUUUAUCAAAUAUGUCUUCACCGUUAUACAUUAGAGCCAUAUAUAUCCCUCAGCCGUUAAAACACUCUCCCAUAUGUUUAAAUUACGGUUAAUGGUCAAAUAUAUCCUUAUACUAUUAAAAAUAGACCAUAUUUAUCCUCCGUUUGAAUUUUUUAUCAAAUAUGUCCCCACCGUUAUAUUUUUAUCAAAACACUUAUACUAUUAAAAAUAGACCAUAUUUAUCCUCCGUUUGAAUUUUUUAUCAAAUAUCUCCCCACCGUUAUAUUUUUUAUCAAAACAUCCUCCCAUAUAUUUUUAGUAGCACUUGGCAUCUUAUGAUUGGACUAGACGACCCGCUCCACUCCUUUAAUUAAACCCGCCCCGAUCCAAUGAAAUUUAGUCUUCUUCUCCGUUCAAUCCCUUCAAUACUAGGUAGUGAUGGCCCAUGUUAGCAUGUGCCCAAUAAUACANNNNNNNNNNNNNNNNNNNNNNNNNNNNNNNNNNNNNNNNNNNNNNNNNNNNNNNNNNNNNNNNNNNNNNNNNNNNNNNNNNNNNNNNNNNNNNNNNNNNNNNNNNNNNNNNNNNNNNNNNNNNNNNNNNNNNNNNNNNNNNNNNNNNNNNNNNNNNNNNNNNNNNNNNNNNNNNNNNNNNNNNNNACCAGAUAUCAUUAGAACAAUAAUAAUUAUGUUUUCAAUAUAAAAAGAGUACUCUCAUGGCGUUAAAGAGUUACCGCGCAACAUUCAAGAGUGGACAUUUUAUUCAUUGAUGCAUGUAACUAAUAUCCAACAAUUAGCAUACAUUUUCGUCUUAUCCGAUUUUGAAGGUCAUUUUCAUGAGCCAAUUUAUAUAGCUAUAAUUUUAUAUAAAAAUAGAGUUUUAGCCUUUGUAUUAUUGGGCACAUACUAACAUGGGCCAUCACUACCUAGUAUUGAAGGGAUUGAACGGGGAAGAAGACUAAAUUUCAUUGGGUCGGGGCAGGUUUAAUUAAAGGAAUGGGGCGGGUCGUCUAGUCCAAUCAUAAGAUGCCACGUGCUACUAAAAAUAUAUGGAAGGGUGUUUUAACGGCUGAGGGAUAUAUAUGACGCUAAUGUAUAACGAUGGAGAGAUAUUUGAUAAGAAAUUCAAACGGAAGAUGAAUAUGACAUAUUUUUAAUUAUAUAAAAAUAUAUUUGACUCUUAACCGUUGAUUUUAAAUGAGAAAAAUGGAAGGCGCGGAGCCCGCAGACAAAGACAAAGGCCAAAGUGUACUCGAAUUAGCUACUCUCACUUUCAUAUUUUAUGAGACUGAAUUUGAGUGGACACUCCACACAGGACAGGUAGUUCAACAUAAAUUGAUAGUAUCUAUUCUUCUAAUUUAUGUGAACUUAAAAGGAUAUAUUUGACCCUUAACCGUUCAUUUUUAGCAUAACUUCAAGUAAUAUUUGAUCAGUUCAAAUUGCCACUUAUAAUGUGUCAUACAAAAAAUACACAUAAAAUUUUAAAUUUUCCCUAUAAAUUUGUCUAGUAAAGAAGUCAUCACUAAAUUGAUUAAAUGGCUUCCUACAAAAGUAAUAGUUAGGCCUGCAAUGUUGUAUGAGGUCGAGUGUUGGCCGGUUAAGAACUCACACACCCAGAAGAUGAAAGUAGCAGAGAUGAGGAUGUCGAGUUUUGGCUGGCUAAGAACUCACAUACCUAGAAGAUAAAAGUAGCAGAGAUGAGGAUGUUGAGGUGGAUGUGUGGGAAUACAAGGGUUGAUAAGAUUAGGAACGAAGAUAUUCGAGAGAAGGUGGGCGUGGCACCCAUAGAGGACAAGAUGCGGGAAGCAAGAUUCAGAUGGUUCGGGCACAUUCAGAGGAGGAGUACUGAUGCACCGGUAAGAAGGUGUAAGCGACUGGCUGUGGUGAGCAUGGGGAGAGGUUGAGGGAGACCUAAGAAGUAUUGGGGAGAGGUGAUAAGGC
rnacentral:lncRNA from 1 species